rnacentral:lncRNA from 1 species
UUGUUUUUAAUCUCAAAUUAAUUAGUUGUAAUUUUAUUGUACUAUAACGCUAAGUUUUAACCUCACUUUUGUGCACUAAUAUAUAAUUUAUUUCCUAUAUUUUUUCUUAUAUUUUUUUAAAGCCUCCUAUAUUUUGAUUAUAUUUUAUGCAAGCAUUGCUCUUUCUUCUCGUUUCUUUUGUUUUUUUUUAUUUUUGACUCUUACUUCUUUGUUAUGCUUUUUAGUUUAUUUUUUUAUUUACGAAUCGAUCUCGCAGUAAUGGCCGGAGGUGUACUCUAAUCCCAAAUUCCUACAGUAAAGUGGCAAGGUGAUUUGAUGGUUGAUACCAAGGUGCCAAGUUCUACAGGCAAGUAGGCAAAGGGCUUUAAGUUAGUAAUAUAUGAAAUGCCCCUGCGAAUAAUAUUUUAUAGGAGAAGACAGUUUUAGACUUAUAAUUUUUGAAAUUAAUUGUAAAUUUAUAUCGAUUAAAAAUAAAAAAAAAUACUUUGAAAUUAAUUGAGUAUAAUCUUUUUUUAAUUGGUCACACGAUAUUUACGUUAAUAUAACAAAUUGAGAGAAUACAAGACAUGGGUUUAAAAUUUAAAAAAAUUACAACACAAUUUUUUUCCUCGCGCAUAAUAAUUGAAGUUAAUAUUAUUUGCCAUAUAACACAAUAUGUUUACAGCAAACUCGCCACUUCCAAAUAAAUCUAACUUCAACGCAAAAAUCAGUUUCGGUGACAAACAACUCCUAUAAUGAAUUGAAUAUAAAUAAAUCAUAAAUAAUCACCACGAUGAAUUAAAGUUUACAAUACUCCAAUAUAGUUACAACAUGAAACAAAUAACAUAAAAGCAAGCAUACACACAACUAGCCGCAUAGUAUAAACAACUAAUGCUACAUUCCUAGCCUAAGAAAACAAUAAAUAUCGCAAACACAACGUAAAUACUACAGACAAAAAUUGGACGCGUUAAGUUAAAUAAAAUAAACAUUAAUUUCAACUUCUAAUAUUUUCAUAAUUCUCGUAAUUUAGAAUGCGAAAGAUCGCAUCACUCUUGAAUCAUGCUUUACAAUUGCAAUAGAUACGGGAUCGCAACAUGUCCACAAUAGAAUAUCCGGUCUACUUCUAAAAUAUAUAUCAUUUCUUAUUUCGGCGAAUAAAUAUAAACAUGACAUGCCAUAGCAAUCAGGCAUAGUAAUCGUUAUAAUCGAAAAGGCUGUUGCAUAUUUAAAUCUUAAACGUAUUCUUUAAUGAUACACGAAAGUUUUCAAUCUCACAUUCACCAUGUGAUGAUAUAGAGAUUCGGCAUUCGAUGCGUGGGCCGCGUGUAGAACUGUCAAAUUGACUAAAUAUAUACACUCGCAUCGCUAGACGUGCAAUAAACUUAUCAGUGUUGCGACCGCCGAAUAACAAAUAGUACUUACUGGAAAAUGAGUAAACAGUUGACAAGAAUAUAUAUCUUAUCAGUAAUAUUUUGAAGUAUAAAGCAUUACUAAGCAUUUACCUUCAAGGAAUUAAAACCCCAUUCGACAGCCAACGCAUCGAAGUCCACCAGUCUGAUGUUUGUUCAUUGUCAACCUGUGUACACAGAGAAGAAUAUGGUCACAAUAAUAUUGCACGUCAUUCAUAUUCGUAAUGUACGCCUUUCGACAAUUGAAUUCCAGGCUUUUCCGUCCUUUUAUAUAACAGGGAUAUGUGUUACGUCUACGCACCAAUUGAAUUCUACAAUAAUUAACAUUAGAAAAAUUGCACAAAAAAAUUCGUACAAAACAUGCAUCAUGUUCUUAAGAAUAACGCUUGAAUGGAUAAAAUUGAUUGUCACUCGAAUCCUGGUUGUAAUAUUGGUUAUUGGCGGCACGUUUGUUAAUAAUUCAUUUUCAGCUUCCACGCUGUAAACAUGUUGAAAUGUCAUACUUAUGUUACCCCUUGAAAUGUGAAUAUUUCUACACAAUUAUUUCCGCGCCUGAACAUACGAAAAUAGAAAAUAGGCUAUAUUAUUAAGCUGUCAGAUUUCGAGUUCAUUAUACAAUGCCUCCGCCGAGUUAGGACAUAAAAUGCGAUGAAAGCAUUGUUGAACAUUCGAAAGUGUUAAUCCCUGUCUGUCAAAUGACCAUUGAAAUAUAUAACCAUUUCGGCAGUAAUCAAAGCCGAUUCGACACUUCGCAUUGUGCAAUGUCAUUAGAAAAUUAAGUGUACCGAUAAAAAGAUACACGAAUACUUGGUCCCAAUAAUCGUCAUCCUCGUCAAGUAUUGACAUAACAUUUGCUAAUGUUGACGACAAAAAAAUUGAACGAACCAAUGAAUCACCCAUGUCAACUAAAAUGAAUACAAGAUUAUCAAUUUUAGAUAGAUUUCAAAGUAAUAUCAAAGCAUAAGUAAACAUUCUCGACGACAGUGCAAAAAAGAGUAAUAACAUGCAUGAUAUCCACAUCACAUAGGUUUAAACAUGCAUAUUUUGUCACUAGUAGUGCAAUUGUCUAGUAAAAACCACGGGCAAAUCUCCGAUAUAAACAUAUAAAUAAAGCAAGCACAUAAUACAACUGCUGAUACACAGCACAUAAAAGACAAGUCUAAAAUGCAAAAGAAGCAUAAGUAAGCAGCAACGUCUAUAAUACACAUGAGAGUAGCCAAAUACACCUCUAAAACCUGAAAAAGUGUUGCUUAUACAGGACAUUUUGCGUUUGAAGUUGACGGUCUAUCCACAUAACCGCAAGCUCAUCAAUCAUAGUCAUAAAAAAUUAUCUACUUUUGUCAUCCCGCAAUGAAUCCCCCGCAGCCAAAGCCCGUUCAUUCGCCAUGCCCACUAAAUUAUAAACUCUCGUCAUACAAACCUCAAUUGAUGGAAUAUUUGGGCGAGUUGAGACCUCAUGCUGAUACAUUUGCUGUACGAGGUCGAGCUUUUGCCUUCCUAUUUCUACCAUCUCAGCAACAGCCUCCGCUUGCAUGUCACCCUUCUUCUUUCGGCGACCGGAUGAAGAUGCUUGUUUCCGUGGCGGAACCGAAGGUUGUGGGGAUCGAGGUCGUUUACCCGCAGAGUUAUGGCCUGAUCCACUAACAGUAGCUCCAACAGUGGGUUGCAUGAGGGGAAGGCUAGGAGAACGCGAAGAUAAAUUUUCUGUCACGGUUUCAUUCAGGGGGGUGCUCGAGGAACCUGGUGCAAACGGACCGAGUAAGUGAUUGAUUGCUAGCUGGCUAACUCCUACGAUAGUGUCAUCCUCACCAGGCAAAGAUGCUGAUGAACUAUUAACAGUGGAAGGUGCAACCGUUUCUAACAACAUUCCAAAACGGCCGGUAGCAACAGUUGAUGCACAAAGGAACGCAAUAGAGUUAUAAGCUGAAAGAGAUGUAUCUCUACACUUGGCAUAAGCGGGAUUCUCCUAUAAAGAAAAAUUAGUAAAAUUAUAAUACAUAAAUAAUAAGGGGAAAGAAUAAACUGCAUUUACUGUAAUAAAGUCUUACCGCAAUGACUGCAUCCUAGUCCGUGGGGUCACCGGCCGUGGGUAUAUUGUUAUAAAUGAGAGUAGGUGUUAUAAAUGUUACCUCAUCGCCUGGGUGCUUAUCGGGGUGCGGACGCAAAGCCAACUUGUGGUAUGCUUUCUUUCUUUCUUGUUGAGAUACUGAUCUCUCUACGCCAAGGAUCUAUACCCCCGUAAAAAUAAAAUGUAAUAUCUUCAAUGAUACUUACACUUAAGUUUAAAGCCAUAAUUACUGCAGUAUUUACCGAGAAAAGAUGUAAAAUACAUGCUACCUCACUUUCUAAAACUACAAUUCAAGAAUAAUUGGAAAAAAAAAUACCAUUUGGGUUGAGUAUAAGAAUUAGAAGAUCAAAAUCUCCAAUUUUAGUUUUAAUAAUACAUAUCCUCUCACUAUAUCACCUCUAGUGUGUGUGUGUGUGUGUGUGUGUGUGCGCCUUUUUUUUUUUUCAAAGCAACUCAGUUAAACCGUAUGAUUGCAAUCACUUUUUAACAAAUGUAGCUACAGUUUAUUGAUACAAUCAACAACUAAUAGCUAAUUAGACUAUCAAAUUUGACAAAGUCCCCUACUUAGUUAGAUGGAGCAACUCAAAUAAAAAUAUUUAAAAAAUAAAAAUUAAAUUGAAGUUGAGGUGGUGUGACUAUUUCAAAAUGUCCUAUAGGUGAGGAGAUCUCAUGACAUUUUCACUAACAUUUAUUUUAUUUUAUUUUUUAGAAAACAUGAUUUAACCCCCAUUGCAUUGCACUUCCACCAAACAAAAUCAGCGUUUCCCUAAAAUCCCACAUCAAAUUUGGAUUUUUUUUUUUUGCUUAAAUGAAACAACAAAACAAACGUUUCAAACCAUUAAUUGAUGGAACGGACACCCAUCCUCCAACAAAUUGAAACCCUAACCUCAAAACACAAAACCCCCCAAAAAAAACCGUAGUAUUUUAUCAAAAAAUCAAAUAUUUUCCUCCUACCGAUCUUUCUACUAAACAACAACUGCUACGACCUAAUUAGGGCUUAAAAAGAAAUCAAAUUUGGAUUUUUACUAAAAUACUUAAUAUAACGAACACAUAUUCUCCACAAAUUUGAAGCCCAAACCUUAUUCAACCAAAUAAAACGAAAAAAAAAAAAAAGCAAAACCCUAGCAUCAUAUAACACUCAAUAAUUUCCAACUCCCACUAAACCAGAGCUUCAAAGUAAAUUGACGAACCUUAAUUCGAGAUCUCUAUUCAACCAAAUAAGAAAAAAAAUUUGAUAUAGCACUCGAUUUUUUCUAACUACCACUAAACCAGAGGUUAAAAGAAAAUCGCCGAACCCUGAUUCGAGAUCCCAACGAUCCCAAAAAGGCAAAAAGCGGGCAAAAAAUUGGGAUUCGAAGCAAACUCACCUCGUACAAGCUCUUCCCCUCAACGGCACCUGCGAUGGCGGAGGGGAUUGCUACGGCACCUUCGGCCUCGGCCUCGGCGUCGGAAACCGUAGUUUUCUUUUUUCGCCCCAUUUUCGCCAAUAAUAAAUAUAUUGUAAUUAUAAUAAAUAAUAAUAUAAAGAGAAAGAGGAGAUAUUUAUAGGGGCGGGGAAUUGGGUCAAAUUUUUUCGCUUCUCGUUUCCCGCUCUAUUAGCUAAAUUUUUAUGGGGGUAAAUUACACUUUUGGUCCUCAAACUAUAAUACGGGUGACACUUUAGUUCUCUAGCUUUAAUAAAAACUUCAAAAUACUACCCCUGCGGUUUCACGCUUUCUCACCUUAAUAUUCUGUGAUUUAAAGUGUAUCACUUUCGUACCUGUGAUUUUAUUUUUUCUCUUUUUCUUAUCCCUUCACUAAUUUUUUUCGUUAAAUCAGUGACAAAGUUAAAAACUAAUAAAGGCUUUGUUUAGUACAGAUAUAAGUAAGAACUAUUUAUUCCAGGAAUAUGUACAAGUGUAGGUAUAAAAGUAAUUUUGUAUUUGAAUGAAAAGUAGAGUAUAAGCAGGAAUAAAAAAAAUAGUAUUCGGAUGGUUUUGGGAGAUAAGAGAAUAGUGGGUUGUUGAAAGUUGUAAAUACCAAAAUUGCCCCUCUGUCGAAUUUAUAGAGAGGACCAAUUUUGACAUUUUAAUUUUUUCGUAAAUUAAAUUGUAAAUUUUAUCGAUUAAAUAAUUAAAAAAAUACAUAUGCAAAUGUAUAUCGAGUAUAUUAUUUUUUUAAUUGCACACAAUAUUUACGUAAUAUAACAGAUAAAAGUAAAUACCAAUGACAUGGGUUUAAAAUUUUUAAAAAUUACAACAACAAUUCUUUUUUCCUCCACUACAUAAUUUCAAGUAAUAUCAUUUGCCACAACAACAAUAGUUUUUAGCGAACUCCACUCCAACCCAAAAUCCUCUUCAAUACAAAGUUCAGUUUGGAAAAACAAACAUGCCAUAAAUGACAAUAAAUAUAAUAUAAAUCAUAAUAACUCAAACGCAAUGAAUCAAAGUUUUCAACUACUCCAAUAUAUACAUACAUAACCAUAAAAGCAAGCACAACCACAACUAACCCAUAGUAGCAAGCAACAUGCUAAAUUCCUAGACCAAGAAAACUAAAACAUCAUGCAACAUUGCAGUGCGUUAGUUCAACAGCCGAACAUUGCGGUGCAUUUAAGUUCAAAUAAAUGAAAGCAUCAAAUUUCAAUUUCUACUAUUCUAUAAUUGCUCAGUAAUAGAACUACGCAAAGACUCGCCACGUCUCAAAUCAUCGCCUUCGGUUGCAACAGUCGGCGGAUCGUCAACGUUCCCGUCAGAAGUAUCUCGGUCCAUCUCUUCUAAAAAAUAUAUGUCAUUUCCUUGUUGUCGGCGAAUAAAAUUAUGUACCACACAACAUGCCAUAGCAAUGAAGCACUAUACGUUAUAAGAAAACGGCGUUGCAUGAUUUAAAAUCUUAAACCGCUUCUUUAAUAUACCGAAAGUUUUCUCUACGAUAUUUCGCAACUGCGUAUGUUGAUGAUUAUAGAGAUCUCACGGAUUUCGAUGCGUGCGUGCCUGUGUAGAACUGUCAAAUUGACUGAGAUGAUACCGCUCGUCUCGGUAAGGUGCAAAAAACCUAUCAGUGUUUGCAUACCCUGAAUCAACCAAAUAGUAUUUACCUAGAAAAAUGAGUACAUAGUUGAGUCAAGAAUAUAUCUUCAUCAGUAAUAUUCUGAGUAUUAAGCAAUUACUAAGCAUUUACCUUCAGGAAUUGUAAAACCCCCACUAUCACAAGCCCAUCGAAGUACAAGCAUAUCUGAUGUUGAUCCUUCCCAACCUGUGCACACAAAGAAAAAUAUAUGGUUGAAAGAUACUGCAGCCAUCAUAUUCUGUGAUGUAAAGCCUUUUCGACAUCGAAAUCGCGCUUGUUCACUCCUUUCGACAAUUACAGGGAUAUGUGUUUCGUCUAAAGCACCAAUUGCAUUCUACAAGACAUGAAGCAUUAGGAAAAAAUUGCACAGAAAAAUUGCGUACAAAAAUAAUACAUUAUGUUCUUAUGAAAAGUAAUCUUGAAUGGAUGAAAAUUUGGAUUGUCCCGAAUCCUUGAAUAUACUACUGCAUUAUUUGGCGGCAUUGUUAGAUAUCAUCUUUCAACAUUACAAUCGCUCGUAAAACAUUGUUGAAAUGUCUACUAAUUGUCUCCCCUGAAUGUUGGAAUGUUUCUGCGAGCACUUUAUUUGCCACGCCAUGACCUACUCAAAAUAGGAAAAUAGCUAGCUGCUUAUUAACUAUCAGAUUUCGAGUUCCUCUUAUCAACCCCUGGCCGAGUAGCACAUCACGAAGUGCGAUGAAAGUUGUCGUUGACAUGCGAAAGUGUUGAUACCCUCUGUUAGGAUGACCAUUGAGAAUAUCACUAAUCAUUUCACGGUCAGAAAAAGGCCGCUUUCGACACUGCCGUUUGUGUGAUGUAUUAGAAAAUGUAAGGUAGUCCUGAUCAAAAAGCAUCACGAAUACUUGGUCCCAAUAAUCGUCAUCCUCGUCAAGUACUGACAUAACAUUUGCUAAUGUUGACGACGAAAAAAUUGAACGAAACAAUGCAUCACGUACCCAUGUCAACUGAAAUGAAUACAAGAUUAUCAAUUUUAGAUAGAUUUCAAAGUAAUAUCAAAGCAUAAGUAAACAUUCUCGAUGACAGUGCAAAAAAGAGUAAUAACAUGCAUGAUAUCCACAUAGGUUUAAACAUGCAGAUUUUGUCACUAGUAAUGCAAUUGUCUAGUAAAAACCACAAGCAAAUCUCCAAUAUAAACAUAUAAAUAAAGCAAGCACAUAACACAACUGUAGAUACGCAGCACAUAAAAACAAGUCUAAAAUGCAAAAAAAGCAUAAGUAAGCAGCGACGUCCAUAAUACACAUGAGAGCAGCCAAAUACACCUCUAAAACCUGAGAAAGUGUUGCUUAUACAGGACGUUUUGCAUUUGAAGUUGGCGGUCUAUCCACAUAACCGCAAGCCGGUCAAUGUCAUAAAAAGUUGUCUAUUUUUGUCAUCCAGCAAGGAAUCCCCUGCAGCCAAAGCCCGUUUAUCCGCCGUGCCCACUAGAUUAUAACCUCUCGUCAUACAAACCUCAAUUGAUGGAAUAUUUGGGCGAGUUGAGACCACGUGUUGAUACAUUUGCCGUACGAGAUCGAGCUUUUGCCUUCCUAUUUCCACCAUCUUAGCAAUAGCCUCCGCUUGCAGGUCACCCUUAUUCUUUCGGCGGCCGGAUGAAGAUGCUUGUUUCCGUGGUGAAACCGAAGCUGUGGGGAUCGAGGUCAUUUACUUGUAGAGCUAUGGCCUGAUCCACUAACAGUAGCUCCAACAGUGGGUUGCACGAGGGGAGCGCUAGGAGAACGCGAAGAUAAAUUAUCCGCUGCGGUUUCAUUCAGGGGGGUGCUGGAGGAACCUGGUGCAAACAGACCGGGUAACUGAUUGAUUGCUAGCUGAUUAACUCAUACGAUAGUGUCAUCUCACCAAGCGAAGAUGCUGAUGAACUAUUAAUAGUGGAAGGUACAACCGUUUCUAACGACAUUCCAAAGCAGCCGGUAGCAACAGUUGAUGCACAAAGGAACGCAAUAGAGUUAUAAGUUGGAAAAGGUUUAUCUCUACACUUGGCAUAAGCGGGAUUCUCCUAUAAAAAAAAAUUAGUAAAAUUAUAAUACAUAAAUAAUAAGAGGAAAGAAUAAACUGCAUUUACUGUAAUAAAGUCUUACCACAAUGACUGCACCCCAGUCCAUGGGGUCACCGGCCGUGGGUAUAUUGUUAUAAAUGAGAAUAGGUGUUAUAAAUGUUACCUCAUCGCCUGGGUUCUUAAAAGAACCCUAAUUUUAUCAUCUCUUUAAAUAGAGUGGUGAGAUUAUCUUUACAAUAUAUAAAAUAAUUAUAUAAUUUUAGUAAUCAUUUAAAUUUACUAUCUAUAAAUAAAUAAGUGGAUAUAUAUAAUAUUUUUAUAUUUUUCAAUAAUUCUUCAACUUAUCAAUCGACAUAUUUAAAAUUUUUAAUUUAUUUAAUUUUAAUAUGUAAAUCAAACUUUAAAAAUUUAAACGAUUCUCUCAUUUUUUUUUUAUCAAAUUUAAUAAUUAUAAUUAACUAAAAUUUAUUAAGUUGGCAUACACAAUCAUAUUCUAUAAAAAUUUAGAAAAAAAAAAUUUAUUUUUUAUGUUUUGAAUAAAAUAAAUUAAAAAUAUUUUAAUUUUUUGCACAAAACUUGUAUCGCCUAAAAAAUUUUAUUAGUAUGAGUUUAUUUACAAGUAUUUUUAUUUAUCCAUAUAUAUAUAAUUUAUUUAUUAUUGUUAAUUUGUAGGUGAUCCUAUUCCUCAGCAACUGCUGCAGUUGGAGCUGUCGGAUGUAGUUCCAACUGCAGCAUUUUGAGCUUCUUGUGCAGUUGCAACUGCAGCAGUUGGACUCAACUGCAUUAAACCAAACACAUGAAUUGAGGUUGCAUGCAUUUGUAACUACAGUGCAGUUGCAAAUACGUGCAACCAAACAGCCCCUUAAUGUAAUGCAAAGUGAAAAUUAGAAAUAAUUAUUAGUAUAUAUAAUAAUAAGAGUCAAUUUCAUACAAGUCCGUACGAACAUAAUAAAUUACAAAUAUAUUCUAUUAAAGUUCAACUUUAAUAUGCUGUCGCUGCAAAAGUUUUAAUAUUUUCAAAUAUGUCUCUUUAGUUUGUUGCCGUUAAAGCACUGUCUAUUUUAUAAACAAAAUGAUAUUUUUACCAUCACAACUAUAUCCCUCCAAAAAUCUCAAUUAUUAAAUAAAGAGGGAUAAAAAUGUCAAUUCGCCUAAUUAACUAAUCGGAAUUAAGCAUUUAAUCUAUAGUUAACUAAAUUUUUCUAAUGGAUUUUAACGGUAAGAAUAUAUUUGAAAAUAUCAUGAUUUUAAUUUGCAGAGACAACAUACAAAAGUUAAACUUUGUAGUGACAUAUUUGAAAUUCAAUAUAUUUAUAAGGGAAAACUUCAAAAACCCCUCAUGUGGGUUCGUAGUUUCUCACUUUGCCCCCCUGUGGUUUAGUGUAUCAAUUUGCCCCCCUGUGGUUUCAUUUUUAUCUUUUUCUUAUUAAUUUCAUUUUUUUUUUCUUAAAUUAGUGAUAAAGUUAAAAUUAAAGGGUACUAAAGUGAAUAUUUGAUAAAUCUAGAUGGGUAUCUGAAGCUUUUUGUACAUAAUUUAAUAAAAAAUUAACGAAAAAACUAUCGAAAAGAUAAAAACGAAACCACAUAUGGGCAAAUUAAUACAUUUUAAAUCACAUAGAGGUAAAGUGAAAAACUAGGAAACCGCAUAAAGUGUUUUUGAAGUUUUCCCUAUUUGUAAAGACUGGUAUGGAAUUAAUAAUAAUAAUAAUAAUAAUAAUAAUAACAACAACGUUAUGUGAAAAUCCACGUCAUCAUAGCAGUUUAAAUAAUAAAUAAAUAAUAAAAAUCCGCAUGAUUAUCUGUCACGCCGACUUUUAGGUAAUUAAAGCUUCCUUUUUAUCGCAGCACCGCCUCAUCGCCUGAGUACCUGAACGCCCGCAUAAAACGUCUUCCGCGAACCCCUACAUCCACCGUCCGUUUGCCGGCAUCCGACAAAUCGCACGGCGGAAACCCUCUUCCCGCACCAAAUUUUUAUAUGCGGUUCCUCGUAUGCGAGAAUUAUGAUGCGCUCUAUAAAUAGCGGCAUGUGUCGNCGCAAUUUAGUAGCUUUUUUUUUUAUUAAUUUUUCUCCUCAUUUCCCCGACCCCUCCUCUUUCGUGCCCACCGAUUCCACGAUACCGAGGCGAUUUUGGGGCCGCUAGGGUUAGGGUUUCUCCUUCCCCCAAUUCAUCUUCGAUUCCUAAUUUUAUUGCUCGAUUUCUAAUCAAUCUCGUGUUUUCUUUUUCUUUGUUGCGAGGGUUUGGAAUCGGCGGUGAGAUCGGAAUUAAACUUUUGAUUUUGAUUUUGAUUUGGGGUUUUUUGCGCUAUUUAUUGCAGGGAUCGUCGGGGGCCAAAGCCGCAGAGAAACCGAGCGUGAUCGAAGGCGACCUUUGAAGCAGGUAUGCUAGGUUUGAUGAUUCAAUCUGGGGUUAUUAUUCAGGGUUUUGAUCAUUGCGUCUUAGGGUUUCGUUGUUCUUUAUGUGCCUGUCGUAGAAAUUCUUGGAGUUUGGCUGUUAAUUGUGUGCCUUGAUGUAUUUUGUAUGAUCUGAUUCGUCUGCGGCUACUGAAUCUCGUUGUUGUUGGUGUUCUCUGAUGAAAGGUGGAGCAUUUACGUGAUAUGCUAUGUUAAACAAAAGGUUUUGCAUAUUUAGAUGCCGUGAUUUACGUUGGUAGAUUCCUCUGGUUGUAAAUUUAUUGGUACAAUUGCCGUAGAUGUUUUAAUGUUAUUAGGCUUCGGAUUUGAUUUUUGUAUCAUGUUGUCAAUCUUUUAUGUGAGGAAGCUUCUUGCUUUGCCUGAGUGGGGGAUUUGGCAUGUUGUGACGUAGUUUAAUCAGAGGAAUGGAGCACGAGGAGACUGGAUGCCAGGCCCCCGAAGGCCCGAUCCUCUGCAUCAACAACUGCGGCUUCUUCGGCAGCGCCGCCACCAUGAACAUGUGCUCCAAGUGCCACAAGGAGGUGAUGCUGAAAGAACAGCAGGCCAAGCUCGCGGCCUCGUCCAUCGACAGCAUAGUGAAUGGCGGUGGCAGCAGCAGCAGCGGCAGCAGUGAGAAGGAUCCAGUUGCUGUGGCCCCUAAGAAUGCUGAUGUAGCUGUUGCUUCUGUAGAACCAAAGACCGUUGUGGCACAAACAGCAGAUCCUGUGGGCUCGAGCAGUGACGAUGCAAUGAAGUCCAAGGCGAAGGAGGGCCCAAGUAGGUGUGCAACUUGUAGGAAGCGAGUCGGCCUCACAGGUUUCAAUUGCCGGUGCGGGAGUGUGUUCUGUGGCUCACAUCGUUAUGCGGACAUGCACAAGUGCCCCUUUGACUAUCAGACGGCGGGCAGGGAUGAGAUCGCCAAAGCGAAUCCAGUUGUGAAGGCAGAAAAGCUUGACAAGAUCUAGAGAGUUUGGAGUGGAAGAGAUUGUGUUCCCUGCUAUGAGUGCUUACUUGCUGCUCUAGUUUAUCCAUGCCCUUUUGUUUCUAAUUGUCAGGUGUCCUUUAUUAUUCUAAAUGGCUGGAUAUGUGAUGCUUGGAGCAUCCAUGCAGCUGCCUCAGAACUCGCUUGUUGACUUUGAAAGGUUUGCAUGUCUGCUUUGGUUGUUUGAGCUUUUAUUCAUGCUCGUUCCUGUGGAAUGUAUCAUGGCUUAUUAUAUGGCUAGCUUUACAAUAUAUUUUAUUUGUCGUCUUGUCGAGUCGUUCAUGAAAUAGCUUGAGCACUUCUUCUACAUCCCUCAUGUCUUGUGUUUGCUUUUUUUUUUUAUUAUGCCCUUGCUGCUGUUUCUUUUUUCCUGAUGAGACUACUAGUAGUGCACAAUUUGGAGUGAUAAACUGCAAAUUGGACAUUUGGUAGUUACUAUUUUGUAGAAAUUGCGUCUCCUAUCUGCAUUUUGCUUCUGGCAUUUUUGUUAACUUUGUUCAGGUUAUGGUGUUAUUUGAGAUAGGGUUAGGGCAAAUAACUUUGUAGAUAAGAAUUAUGUCUUCCCUUUUCCUUUUUAGGGUCUCUUUUGACUUCUUGAGUAUGAAUAUUUCUAAUUUUUGUGUUAAGAAUAAGUAAUGGAGGGAUCAAAUGGUGGAGUCUGAAAGGGGUUAAAUCAACUUAGGGAGAAUAUCUCAAAAAAGGUCAAUUGAGAAUUAAGGUUGUUUAGAAGACCCAAUAAUUCUUGACAUAGCGCAAACAUAUUGGCCAGGUGACGUAGGAUUAAGUUGUGGAAGUGGCUAGGGGUAACCAAACUUACUUUAGGAAGAGUUUGUCGGAAGAGAUCGACUGACGAUCAAGGUUGUCGAGAAAUCUAAGUUAACUCGUUGACCUAGCUUAAACAUAGUGGCCAGAGUGUAUUAAUCUGUUGCUUGGUUUUGGUAAAUUCUAUUAAAUGAUCAUUAUGAUUGAUUUGUUUAGAUUCAGUUAUGAGUAGACAAAAAAAAGAAAAAAAAUCUUGACCAAACUUAGUUCAGCUUUUUUGAGUUGACAAAAAGAAAAAUCCUGGUCUAACCCGAUUAUUGUAGUGAGGGUGAAAACACUUCGGGGGGGCUCUUAUCCCUUCCAUCUCACUUUUUGGCACUUCUAGGCCACUCAACGCGCUGACCUGUCUCUGCCUCACUAUACUCUUAAACUGUUGAGUGCAAUUUGCGCAGCCUUGUUGAACCUCAUCCUACUCCCUACUCUCUCGAGCUGUUUUCCUACCUUAGCCUUUGAGCUCCACCAUGCCGUGACUUUAGCUUUAAUCAGCCCAAGUCUUAAAUGCAUAAGGCCUAUCAGUGUGCGUUUUCGUGCAUGUUUGUGCGUGCUAUGUGCGAUUGUGCGUGUGCAUGCAUGCAUUCAUGGAAAUUGACAAUCCGUUGUCGAGGACGCUUGGUUUGACUUAGUUGUUGCCGUAAUUAUUUUAGUGUUUAAUAUAAUUUGUUGUUAACUAAAUGGUGUUGUUUUUGCUCAACCAAAAAAAAAAAAGAAAGAGAAAAAACAUUUGAACUUGAUGAAUUGAAUCAUGAACUUACCAUGGAUUUAGAAUAUGCACCCAGAUUAUCACUGAAAUAUCAAAGGGACUCUAAGAUCUGGGAUUGUUGUAAGGAAGAUGAUGGUGAAUCAGGAAGUUUAAUCAAUUGUAACGACAAAGUGGAAUGUUAUAAGACUUCUCAAUAAUAUUAUAGAAUAACAAUUAGGAGGUAUGGGGCUUAAGAAAGAUUGGUGAGAUGGAGCAUUUUUAGUAUCAUUGCUUGAUUACGAAAAUGAUUGCGAGAGUGACGAUUGUGCUGAACGGGUUAAUGCUAGAUGGAUUAAGUUGGAUUGCAAGAAUGUUUGUAGAUCGAUGUUUCUUAUUUAUUCCGCCCAAUUAUAGAUGGUUAUUCAUGUCACUGUUGUUGGUGUUGUUGUUUAGAAGCAGCAUGCUCAUAUGAGUAUUAAGAAGGAUGAAUGGCUGCACCGUGGAAAGAUAGGAUUAAGAAUGAAGGCAUCUGCUCUUAAUGGAACCAGCUUUUGUGCAGGGCAGAAGGAACGUUGGAUAGCAUAUAAUAUCGAGAUCGUCUACAAGAGUGAGCUGAGCCAAGUAUGUGGCGAGAAAGUGUAAGUGGGGUCAAAAUGAGAGGGUUUUGGGUAAUUAGUAAAGAUUUUGCGGCAAACGUGAGCCACGUCACUUAGAAAAGAUUGAAGAGGCAAAAGAAUCCACGUCUUUCAUUCGAGUUAUGUUUUGUUGCUUGAUAAUUAACCACAAUUUACACAGAACUUGAAUUAUAUAUGUUUUGGAGAAGUCGUGAAAUUUGUAUUUGAAGGUGUUUUUUUUUUUUCCUUUCUUUUUUCCUUUGAGCUGUUUUUCGAAGUUCCAGCCAAAACAUAUGCCUCAGUGAAAAAGUUGUGAUGAUGUCGGAUUUAAUGAAAAUAUAACAAGUAGAACAUGUGCAGGUGCCUCUCCGCGAGGAUGUGAUGGUGUUUCAAGUAUAUUGUCAGGUUAUGUUGUAUAUUCGAUUCAAUGCUUUAUUAAACUGCAUGCUUUUUUUUACCUUUUUUUUUCGUGCUUUUCCGGUUGCAUUUGACAUGUUUCAUGGUUUUCUUCAUCUGUAAUUGAUAUUUUUGGUGUGAAAAUGAUGCGAAUCAAGUUUCAAUAUCGAGCUAUGCCUGGCAUUUCUAAUGUCUGUAGCUGAUGGUAUGCUAAGGCUGUGAUGUGAUGAGUUGUCGUCUUUCGAUCUUGGAAUCUUUGUUGCAAAUUUUCUUAAGAUGAUUCAUUGGUUGAGCUGCGUAUUUAUCUUCUCUGAUGUUCUUUGAAGCAGUUUCUGGUUGUUCUAUUCGAGUUAUUCGGAGGUUUUGCUGUGCAAGUUGUUUACUUUCCGAGUGGUGUCAUUGUACGACUCCAUUUUUAGCAGUGGAUUUCCUUUCUCCUUUUUAUUCUUUUUUUUAUUGUUAUUUUUAUAUUUUAAAUUUGGUGUGGUUUCGGGUUCUGGCAUUGGUUUUUGAUGCAGCUGAGCUGCAAUCUUAAUACCUUCGCUUCCUUGGGCAGAAACUGAAAGCUUGUUUGGUUCACAUAUUUUAGACUGUGGAAUCGUAAUGAGAUUUAUUGAUUUGGAUAGGUCUUUGUUUUAUAGGAAUAAGAUUUCAAUUUUUAUUUCACUCUGGAGUGAGAAUGAUCCAAUCUGUUUAUGAUCUAAUCCGACUUUAAAUCCACUGAUCAGCGGUUUCCAAAGUAAAUCAUUUAAAAUCUUCUCUUACAAACACCUCUUCUCCUUUCUCACUCUCGUUUCUCUCCUGUUUCUUACUUAAAACAGGCACUCAAAAUUUUAGAAAUUCAUCUUGAUUUUGUUUUAAUAAUAAAUAAAAUAUUUUUAGAUAAUUCAUCAUUUUAUUUUUCAUUCAAAUGCAAGCUCAAUCUCAUUUAUCAUUCCUAUGUCAAUCAUGAACCAAACAUGCUUUGAGAGUUGCUUUAGAAUAAAUGAUGUUUAAACUCUUCAGAAUAAUUGUCGAUCGUCUCAUUUCGCUUGGUUAGUUUCGUUGUGAGCAUCUAUGUUUUGCCGAAAGUGGGGAGGGUGAAGUUAUUUUCAGCUAUAAAUGUCUUACUAUUGUUGUCUGAUUCGCUGUAAAUUAAAUUCGCGUGUAACUUCAUAUUUUCCAAUAGUCCAUAAUAGACUUCAGUCUGGAUGGUGUUGGAGUCAAUUAUAGAAGAUAGAAUCUGAUUAUCUAGAGCAGACAGUCCACCUAGACAUUGGAAGUGUGUGACUGCUACUUUUGUGGACUUUCAUCUUGGCAAAGGGUCAAGAAAGGUGGCUUAAUGACCUGGUCCCUCUUUCUGUCAUUUAUUUAUAUUUAAUGAUGAUCAACCAAUGUAUUUGGGAGGGGAUUUUUUUUCAUAGUUAAAGAAUCUUUAUUUCUUUGUUCUAUUCCUUGCAUAUAUAAUUAUUUCAUCCCUUUACUUGGCUCAUCUUCCUCCUAGAUCUUCUUCUUUCUCGUCGACAGUUACUAGCACUCUCCAACACAUAUAUUUUACUUGUCGACAAUAUGGCGGAGUUAGGCGUUGUAGUAGGAUGGGUCGCAUCUCCGAUCAUCAAAGCAAUGGUUGACAUGGCGAGAUCCUACAUAGAGAGCCGACUGCCUUGGCGAUCGGCGGUGGAGGAGGAGCUUCACGUGCUGGCGGCCGUCCUUGCUCAAAUCCUCGCCGUCGUCUCCACGGCCGAGUCGCUGCCCGCCACCGAUAAUGAAAGCCACCUUGCGCUGCUCCGCCAGAUGAAGGACGCCGUCUACGAGGCCGAGGACUUGCUCGACGAGUUCGGCUACCUUCUCCUUCAAUCCGAAGUGAAUUCUGGACGCAAGGUGAGCCUCCCUUCUGCCUGCUUCUCGUCUGUCGGCGUAAGUUUCAGAAAUAAGCUGAAGAAAGUGCUGAGUAAACUAGAUAAAGUUAAGGACUGCGCCCAGACGUUCCUCGAUAUUGUUGGUGCGACAGUUACGACAGUUGCAGGCAGUAGUAGCAGCAGCAGCGGUGUUGCAAGUGCGGUGCAGCAGCAUCCUACUAGCUCGUUCCUUCUUGAAAACCAAAUUUUCGGCCGAAAAGAGGAGUCCAGGAGGAUACUGCAAUGGCUUCUUGAAUCUGGUGAUCAGUCUGAAAUUCUUCUCUCGGUGGUCGGAGACGGAGGGGUCGGUAAGACUACGCUUGCGCAGUCGAUCUACAAUGAAACAAAGGUGGCGGACCGUUUCGAGCUGCGCAUGUGGGUUUGUGUCUCGGAGAAUUUCGAUGAGCUCAGACUUACCAGGGAGAUCCUCUCGUUGGCGUGCGACGAUCUUGGCAAUGACUCGGCGAGCUUUAAUCUCAACAAGCUUCAAGAACAACUCAAGAAGAGUCUAGCAUCGAAGAGGUUCCUUCUAGUCUUAGACGAUGUUUGGAAUGACGAAGGGAUCAUGGAGUGGGAGGAUAGAGACCGAUGGAUGAAACUGCUUGCGCCGCUAAGAUUCGGGGGUACAGGGAGCAAGAUCAUUGUGACCACGCGUUUGGAAAUAGUGUCGAGAAUGCUCGGCGCAGGAGAUUCUAUCCAUCUGAAGGGGCUAGAAGGAGAUGAUUACUGGUUGCUCUUUAAGCGGCACGCCUUUCGCUCCGCGUGCGCCGACGACUAUCCAGAGCUCCAAGUAGUAGGCCGGCAAAUAGCGAAGAGGCUAAAGGGAUCUCCUCUCGGGGCGAAGGUGGUGGGGGGGAUGCUGAAUGCGGAAAUGAAUGUUGAGAAGUGGAAGAAUGUUUUGAGAAGCAAUGUUUGGAAUGGCAUCAUGCCUGUUCUCAAAUUAAGCUACCGGAAUCUGCCACCCCACCUGCAGCAAUGCUUUGCGUACUGCGGUAUCUUUCCCAAAGAUUGGAGGAUCGAACCUGACAAGCUAGUUUACAUGUGGAUGGCGCAAGGCUUGCUUCGGCCUCAAGAAGGGAGAAGUAUGAGGAUGGAAGACAUUGGGAGGAUCUACUUUGACGAUUUAUCCUCGAGAUCUUUUUUCCAGACGCUCGAGCAUCACAAUAGAGAGUAUUAUGUCAUGCAUGACAUGAUACAUGAAUUGGCUCAAUCUGUUUCGAAGGAGGAGUGUUUUAGAAUCGAAAGUGAUAAUGUGCGAAGAAUCCCGUCAACCGUACGCCACUUGUCGAUCGACACCAACGCUCUGCUGCAGCUUACGAGCAUAUGCGACUUGAAGAACUUGCGCACGCUUGUAAUCUUUUCCUACAAUCAUUCUAUCGGUAGUGAUGUUUUCAAACAGCUGAGAAGCAUAAGAGUGCUGGAUCUAACCGGAUGUGAGAUGGAACAGUUACCUAAAGCUGCGGGCGAGUUGAUUCAUCUACGAUAUUUAUCAUUUGCUGAGACUCUUAAGACAGUGCCUUCGUCAUUCUAUCAGCUUUACAAUCUACAAGUGUUGGAUGUUUCGCGAUCGUGCCUGCCCACUUGGUCUCCUGAAGGUAUGGACAAGCUAAUCAACUUGAGGGUUUUAAAUGUUCACGACGCAUUCGCGUCGCAGAUAGCUAGAAUUGGGAAACUGACCAGUUUGCAAGGUCUAGCUGAAUUUCGUACCUCAAAGAAGAACGGCCGUAAGAUGGUCGAGCUCCAGAACAUGAAUGAACUUCAGGGAUCACUUAGGAUCAAGAAUCUUGAGAAUGUGGAUAGCAUGCAAGAGGCCGCUGAAGCCAAAUUGAACCGAAAGGAGUACAUCAAGAAAUUGAGGUUGGAAUGGCGCUACUCUGAGGAGACGAGAAGUAAAGAUGAUCAAAUUCUCGAGGGCCUCCAGCCGCAUCCAAAUCUCGAAGGUCUAAAAAUCAUAAGUUGCUCAGGUAUCAGGUCUCCGACAUGGCUAGAGACAAAUUGGUUGUCGCAUCUGCAAUCCUUGACUCUGAGUUGCUGCGGAUCUUGGAUAUCUCUCCCCCCUCUCGGACGGCUGCAGAGUCUCAAAUUUUUGGAAAUUAGGUGGAUGUGUGCGGUGAAAAAAAUCAGCUUCGAGUUCUAUGCGAACGGCAGCCUUAAUGGAUUCCCAUUACUGGAACGCUUAAGAUUUGAAGGCAUGCCGGAGUUGGUCGAGUGGUCCCGAGCUAAAGAAUAUCGAGCGUUUCCUUCUCUAUGUGGUGUUCAAAUUGAGAAAUGUCCGAAGCUAACAGACGAGGCGUUCUCGUCGUGCCUGCAAACCUUGAUUCGCCUCUCCAGUCUAGAGAUAAGUUGUUGCCAUCGACUUAUAUCCCUGCCUUCGGCAUCAGUUUUGCGUCAUCUAACUACACUAAAAGAACUGUACAUUAAGUGCUGCGAAAAUUUGGCGUCGCUAGGAGGGCUACAUGCGCUUACUUCCCUGAAAGAGCUCGAAUUGACGGAUUGUCCAAAGCUGCUGGCAUCUAUGAUCAUCGGAGAGGACAAUUACGACAGAGGUUUUCUGCCGGCAUCGCUAGCGUCUCUCAGAAUUGUGCGUUGCGGCCUCACCGACGCAUCAUUGUCGAAUUGUCUCCAGAACCUCACCUCUCUUUCCACAUUAAAGAUAGAGUGCAGCCAAAUCACGACUCUUCCGUCAAAACAAGUGAUGCGCCACCUGACAGCGCUGAAGCAGUUAAGAAUGCAGUCCUGCCAGGCCCUGACGUCGCUUGGCGGGUUAUCAAAUCUCUCCUCCUUGAAAGAGCUGGCAGUUGCUCACUGUCCUCGGCUUCUCGAGUCCACUAACAAUGACGAAGAAAACGGUCAGGUUAUUCUACCCUCUGUGCUCGAGUCAUUAGAACUCAAUUCCUGCGGCAUUAACGACAAUUCACUGUCUGCAUGUUUACAAAACCUCAGCUCUCUUUCAGCCUUGCGCAUAUAUCGUUGUAACGGCAUUGUAUCACUCCCCCCUGCGACAGUCUUUCGCCGCCUAACCAUGCUUGCAAAACUGGACAUAUUUGAUUGUCAGGAAUUGACAUCCGCUGUAGGAUUGUCUGCCCUAACACGCCGAAGAUUUGUGAGGAUCAUAAGUUGCCCCAAGCUUGCUGAUCUAUCAAGCAUUUCAUCCCAACUUUGGGCAUAUCUUGACUGACGACGGCUUCGUAUCGCCCUUUUGAGGAUUCAAAAAGCAGAUCCAAGAAGGAAGGAUCUCGAGUCGGAUAUGGUUGGUUCCGAACAUCUCUUAAACCGUCUGCCCUCUGCAAGUUUAUUUCUUUCAAUUGUGCAGCUCACUGUCUUCUCUUUUCAGGUUUCUGAGUGGCUUUUGCGCGAUUUCAUAUAAUUGUGUCUAAGAAACCAAACAUGCACUUGUGAUGGCAUUUCAAUUUUGAAACCAUCUACUAUCUCAUGUUAAUAAUAGUCAUUGUGUACUUUUAGCACACUCAUAGUGAUUAGACUAAAUUUUUUUUCUGUAUUAUUAUUAUUCAUUAUGUUAGAUAUCCAAACAACCUAUUAAAUAAGCAAUUUAUACAGCAGGAAGUGAUAAAGUAUGAGUGUGCCAAAACUGAAUAGAUUUAUCAUUCUAUAUUAAUUUAGUUCUUCUCUUUUGUUCCUAGAAGUUUCGAGUAUAUUCACCACAUUCACGCGUUAAAGGAGUGAUUUAUUAAAUUGUACGAAAUAACUAUUUUCUCUAAAAGUGUAAGUUCGUAGAGAAUGGUGUUCUUAUAUUUUUAUAUUUAGAACUACUCUCCGAGUCUGGCUUGAAAUUUUUUGACUGGCAUAUGAUGUAGACUUGAAUUAAAUAGAAGGAAGUCGAUUAUGCUGGGAGUCUGCUUGACUCGAAACUUAGUAUCUCAUACUCUGAUAUCGUAUUAAAUUAUGCGAAACAAUCGUAUUUUUUUCAAAAAUUUAGAUUAGUUUGGUAUUGAAGCCCAUCUGGCGCUAUUAGAUAAAAUGGAGUUCGGGUAAAAAUAUAUAGGAAUAUACUUCUGCGUUUUCCGGUGGGAUCGCAGAAAAUAUAUCAUAGUCCGCUCAUCGCAAUAUGCCAAACACAAUAUUACUUACGGAAAUAAACAGAAUAUUUUUUUCAUCGUACUUUCUCACCGCACGUAACACAAUCUUCCCGCAAUUUCAAAUGAAGCCUUAAGCUAAUAGAUAAUGGUGUUUUUAUAUUUUUAUGUGUAAAGCUACUAUACUAUCAGAAGUAUAGAGGACUUGGCGCUUCUAACAUUUUAGCCUUUCGAUCAAGAAUUGUACGAUUGGAAUGAUUGCGGUCCCCUCUAAGGUUGAGUGGUCCCCAUAAGGUAAUAAUAUUAAUCCAAAGAUUAGAAAUGAUUAUAGAAGUUGAUCUAAGUAUUAAAAAAUCGAAAGCACCAGAUUCUCUAUACUUUCGAUAGUAUAGUAGCUCUACUCUAUUUUUAUAUUUAACAUGAUUAGGAAGGGUAUGAUGCAGGCUACGUGGCUGGCAUGGCCCACAUUACCCCGAGCUGAAACGGGCCUAGGGGUGGAUCGGCACGGAUUUCAAGGAUUUGUGGCCCGGCACGGACUCCGGCCCGGACGAUAUAGGUUGUGUCGGGCCGGGCCGGGCCGGGCUCCGGGCCGGCCCUUUUAUUUUUUUAAAAAAAAAUUAUAAAAGUUUAAAAUAGUAAAAAGGUCAAAAUACUACUUUUUAAACAUUUAUAAGAAUGUUUGUCAAAUAAUAAAAGAUUUAAUUUAAAAUUUUAAAAAAAAUUUUAGAAUAGUUGGCCCAUUUUACACCCCUAUUGGCACUUAAACCAUAGCCGAGAAAAGCCAAUGCACUCUAUUUCUUGUCGGGUCUAGGUGGAAUCAGAGCGGGUUAAUUUUAAUCAUAUUUUUGACAUCCGCUUACUAUACUACUCUAUUCGGAGCGGAUUGGGACAGGUGCGGGAAGUGGAUUGCGACAGAAGCAUGGUUUUGAUUAUUUUUUGGCGGAUCGGAUCGGAUUAAAGAAAGAAGAGAGUCUCAUGCCCUCCGCUCCAUUUUACUUGGCAGAUUAGGACGAACCUCCCCAUUCAGGGUGAAUCAGUGCGGGAGCUCCACCAAUCCAGAUCCAUUUGCAUUCCUACGUAUGACCAAAUGGAAUUAAUAUGUCCCAGUCACAAUUUAGGGGAUUUGAUGUGAGAUUAGGUCCUAAUUUGGGUUUUAAAAUUUGUAUUUUAAAAUAAACACAAUGAAUGGACUGAUCAUUCAGAUGAAAGAAGAAAUAAGGGCAAAUUACAAUUUAGGUCCUUACACUAUGAGGUGCAUGACACUUUUAAAUCCUCAAACUUUAAUUUUUAGCAACUUUUGGGCUCGAACUUUUCAAAUUUUAUAAUCAAUUCCUACAAACCAAUUUAGGUGACUAAAUAUUAACAUAUUGAUGAUGUUCGAUUGUGGCGUCCUAAUCAUUACUGUAUUAUCCAUUAUAACACCUGUCAUAUUAUUUUUAUGUUAGCGGCAUGUCAGCAUAUAGUAAAUUAAAUUGGCAAUGAGACUUAAUUACAAUAAUUUAAAAAGUUCGACCCAAAAGGGUACAAAUUAAAAUUUAAGAACUUAAGUGUCGAGUAUCUCAUAGUUUGAGGACCAAAAUUGUAAUUUACUCAAGAAAUAAUUAAGGGGUUCUUUGGUUCUUCAGAAAAAAUAUGAAAAUAAGUUUUCGAGAAAAAAAGUAUUCUAUGGAAAAUUUAUUUUGCAGUUUUUCAACCAUUUAGUUUCAAAAAAAAAAAAAGAAGCUUUUUUAGAUUUUACGAUAAACUAGUUUUUUUCGGUUUUUCUUUCAAAAAAGAUUUGGAAAAAGCAAACUCUAUUUUUUCAUGAAAUUUAGAGAAAAACUUCCCAAAAACGCUAAUUCUUUCUGGAACCAUAUGACCGAAAAUUAUAAAAAUUAGUUUUUUGUAAAAAGAAAAAAAAAUUUUCGAAACAAAGAUUAAAAUGAUCAAGAAAAAAAAAAUAUAUACCAAAUAGAGAUGAAUUAAUUAAUAAAUUAAUCAAUCAUUAAUUAUCCAAUCAUUUUAAGUACAUGCAUCAUUAAUUCAUAAGCUAAUUAAACUCGCAUCAUAACCUCACUCUCUCUCUCCUCCAUACAUUAAUUUCUCUCUCAUGGUGAUCAGGAGAUAUCGAGGGGAAUUUCAGUGCAAGCAGUAAGCAAGGAAGGAGAGGAGGGCGGCGCCGACGACGGUGCCGACGGCGGGGGCGGCCGCGAGGGCUCCGCUGGCGGGUCCAGGCGCGGGAGCUGCCGCCGCGUCGUUGGCGAGAGCGGCGGUGGCGGAUGCGGCGGCGACGAGAGCGGCACAGGCGAUCUUCUUCAUCUCCAUCGCGAUAUAAAAAUAUUUAUUUAUAUGCGUCGACCGGACUGAGACCGCGGAAGCCUGCACUUUAUUGCGGGUUCGGAAUUUUAUUGGAGAGGGAAGACUGGACCUCAAUCUAACUGCAGGCUUGAGGGGAAAAGGAGAGGGCUGGAGGCCAGGUUUUAUACUGGCUGCAUGUGUGUGUGUGUUUGCUAAAAAUAGUUAGCUAAUUAAUUAGGUUAUUAUUAAUUAAUUUAUUUAUUUAGGGUUGUUAGUUAGCAACAAAAUUAGCGUUUUUUAAGUUUUUUCUUUUUUGUUUUUUAUUUGUGGUGAGAGAAAUUUAAGGGUGAAAUGUAUCAGAUAGUCCCUGUACUAUCUCAAUGUCGCGACUUGGAAAAUCUAAAAAAAAAGAAAUUCUCGAAGAAAAAGUUUUCCAUAAUGCAGAACUUUUUUUCUAGUUACUUUUGCUAGUUCGGUUUCAUGAAAAGUUAUAUUUCGUUUGGAAUUGCGAGAAAAUUGCGUUGCAUGCAGUAAAAGAGUACGACAAAAAAUACCCUAUUUGUUAAUCUCCGUGCGUAAUAUUGCGUUCCGUAUAUCGCGAUGAGUCAAUUAUAAUAGUCUCAUCGGAGAACGCAGAAGCAUAUACCUAUAUAUUUUUAUUCCAACUCUAUUUUAUUUAAUAGCGUCAGAUAAUACGCGCCUAACUUUUUUGAAAACUUUUUUUUUCUAAAUUUAAUAUAACAGUAUUGUUUUUGUUUUCUGAAUCCUUUUUGUUCAAAAAUAAAGAAAAUAGUAGUUUUUCAUAAAACCUUUUUUUUUGAAACAAAAUAGGUGAAAAACUAAAAAAGAAGUUUUUCAUAAAGCCUUUUUUUUCCUGAAAAACGUUUUAAUUAAUCCAUAAACAUCUAUAAAAAUGAUUUAAUUUAUUUUAUCCUUCUAUUGUAAAUGACUCACUAGCUUAUUUCAGCUUUAUAUAAAAAUCCGACUUUUAUUGAUAAUCAAAUAGGAAUUAAAGUAAAUUAAACAUACAUACAUAUACACGUGACAAUUAUUGCGAGACUAAAUAUAUUUAAAUUGAAAGUACAGGGACCAAGUUGCCAUACGAGAAUAGUACAGGAACCAUUGAUACAUACAUUUUUAACCUAAUUAGUUAGUUAAUUAAUUAAUUAAUCUAAUUCGAUGAGGAUUUAUAUAUUAAUUUGUGGAGAUAAUUAAUUAGUCAAUUAGUAAAUUAUUAGGGUUUUUUUUUUUGGUUUGGUGUAAAUUAUUUGUAUCCACGUACGUGGCGCGUUCUACGUGCAUGCAUGCGCAUGAGAAGCUAUUUUCUCGUUCAAACUUCAAACUCCAUGACCGAGUCCAUUUGCCAAUAUUAAUUAGUUGCUAGGGGCAAAUUGGUCCAUAUAAAAAAUAGCUAAUGCGAGUGACCAAUCAUUGGACGACACGUGUGUUACGUCACACGUGUCCAUAGCUCAUUUGCUCGAUUUGAUGUUUGAUGUUGUGAAUAUAUCCAGAGACGAAGCCAGAAUUCAAUUACAAGGGAGGCUAAAAUAUGUACAAAUAAAAAGUUUAGCAAAUAAAUAAAAUUUUAACUACUCAAAUUUUUAAUAAAAAAAAUUUAGUGAUUAGAUAAUUAAUGUUAAAAAAUAUUAAAUUUAUUUCUUUAAUUUACACUCGCUUAACUUCUAAUUAUUUUAUUUGCAUUAUUUCAUUCAAAUAAUUUAAGAAUUUUACUAAAUCUAAUAGCAAUUUAGUUAGAAUUUAAUUUUUUUAAAUUUUUGUUAAUAAAAUAAUAACAACCAAUGACUAAUAUCUAACAGAGCUAUUAAUUUUAGCAUACUAUUUUAUUUAGUUAAAUAAAUUAGCUCAUCAAAAUAAUUAGAAAGUUAAGAAUGUAUAAAUAAAAUAUUUAAAGUUGAAAGGACUUAUUUUAAAAUGAACUAUAAUUAAAAGGUUCUUAAUAUAUUUUCACCUAUAAAACACAUAAGACGAGAGAGAGCUCUACAUUAGCACUAAAAUUUUUUUACAAAAUAGGCCGAUAUAUUUUAAAAAUUAACUGAAAAUAUAUAAACUACCAAAGGACUAUAAAGUAAAUAUUAAAAAGUUGAAGAGGACGAUGGCUCCUUUGGGUCUAUAUAUAUGGGCCGACCCUGUGCGUAAGCCUUGGAGUCUUGGCCCACAAGCCAACAAUUCUUUUCAAAAAAUUUCACUUUGGUCCCCUAAAUUUACAAUAUUUUAAUUUUUUUUAAUAGCUUACUAGUGGAUUGUUCUGUAAUUUUAAAAAUGUGGGGGGGGGCCAUGGCCAUUGUCGGCCCCCACAUGGCUCCGUCCCUGAAUAUAUAUAUAUAUANUUUUCAAUGAUCUAGCUUUCAAAUCGACGAUCGGCUCCGUUAGACUUGAUCUACACUAAUAAAAGUAUUUGAAAACUAAAUUUCAUAAUUUUUCGGCAGCAUAUACCUAUCAAACGAGUAGUCUAAAAAUGAAUGGCUGAAAAUAAAAAUCUUGUAAAAAAUGAUGAUAAAAGACUUGAAUUUAAGAUCAGAGGCACUGAUCUUACUCUAAAUAGUGAAAAAAAAUUCCUAUAAAAAUUUCAUCAGAUUUGGAUUGUUUUACACCGUUAAAUUCACAAACGCAUCACAUCUACCAUUAAAAUUGUCAAUUUUGAGACAAUUUGACCACUAGUCAAAUGAUGCCAAAAAAUUAUGAAAUUUAGUUUCCAAAUGCUUUUAAUAGUGUAGAUCAAGUCUAACGAAGCCGAUCGUCGAUUUGGAAACCGCAUCAUUGAAAACAACUUGGUAGCACGGAGGCCUCCAUCCUACCGAUAGUAUACCAGCCUAGCUCUCUCUCUCUCUCUCUCUCUCUAUAUAUAUAUAAAAAAGGAAAAUGCUAUCUCCAACAACCCUUUGUUAAGAAGUCCUAAUCCGUCACUUUUAUUUUUACACAAGGGUUACAAUUUAUUUUUAGGAUUUAAUUUCUUUUAGGGUUUUAGUAUUAAAAAUAAUAUCUAACGAAUUAUCAGAUGGAAGCAAAAUUAAUGCGUGACAGCUUAUCGAGAGCUCUUUAAUGAAGCAUCAUUAGAUAACUCCCCACUCUCUUUAAUGAAGCAUCAUUAGAUAACUCUCUACUGAAGUUUUAUCCUUGUACCCUUAUACAUCGGCAUAAAUCUGAUAUGUCCUUCACCGUUCUAGAAUUCACAAAAAUCUAAAUGAACUUUUAGUUAAAAAAAAAAAAAAAAAACUGAUAAGACUAUUGGGGAUAACUUGUUCGGUAUAUUUUCAGCGUAAGAAUGUCAACUUAUUCAGUAUGAGACUUUUUCGGUAUCACUGUAACUAAGGAUUUUGAUUUUUGUCUCUUCAAAAAUUUUGCUAUCCAUGAUUUGGUACGAUAGCAUAUUUCACCUACAAUUCGAUUUGUCUUAUUUUAAAAAAUUAACUUGAAUGACGAAUAUGAUAUUUCAUUCUAAAUAUUUUAUCACACUUCUUAUCUAGAAAAUAUAUAAUUUUUUUUAGAAAAUUAAAAUAAUAUAAGAGAUAUAAACGAGAUAUUUAUAUAUCCAAACAGGAAUCUCAUAUUGUUUAUUCAAUAAUCAUUUGUUUGUUAAUUGUGGAGGAAAAUGAAAAUGUGUCUACAAUUUUUUUAGUAGGAAGGUUAAUUGGAACAAGUCUCAAUGAUGCGAGCAUUUGUUAAAUCACCUUGUAAGUGAAAUAUACUGUCUCGGAGAAAAUUAACUAAAAUCAAUUAAACUGAGUUUUUGUAACCUAAUUAGAAGUUUUUUCUCCUCAAGAUCCUCAAUGUAAAUAGACACUGAAACUCCAACCCUUGACUUUUAAAGUUAGUUCUCUUGAAUAUCUUCUUUUUUUUUUUUGAGAGAGAAAUAGAUAGCACGCUACCCGCUUUGUUUAUUUUAUUUAGGAAUAAACUUAGCAUUUUCUAGCGACACGAACUAACGGAUAAAAAUUUGAUGAGCAGAGUCCCCAAACAUAAUAAUUUGGGUGUUGUUGUCCAGAUCCGCACCAUGUGGCAAGCCGUACUCAUUUUAACUACCUAAAAAAAGAAUAUUAUUUUUACUGGAUUAAAGUAUUUAAAAAAUUUAUUUUUGUUGGGCGAUUGAGAUGAGCUCGGCUUACCACAUCACGCCGAUCCGGAAAAUCCCCAAAAUAUUAUGUUUGGAAACUGAAAAGAAAUCAUUUCGAUGCUUUAAAGCUCACAAAAAUAGAAAAAAAAAAAAAGAAAUUUUGAAAGCGCUUUACAGCACAACUCCAAUUCGCUUUUUUUUUUUUUUUUUCUUUUUUGUGUGUGUGUGUGUGGAGAAACCGUGCAUCACUAAAGAUGAUGAAUAAAAUCUAGGUAAAAGUGUAUAAAACUUCUUUGCAACUAUAGGCAAUUUUGAUUCCACUACCCAACUUUUCAAAAUUUUGAAUUUAGAAUACAAUCUUUUUAUUUGUUUAAUUUAAAUAAUUUCAUAGAUCUGUAAAUACAAAAUUUAAACUAAUUACUUACUUUAAUAAAUUUAUAGGUACGUAAAUUACAUAAAAUAUACUAAUUAAAUCGGUAAAAAUAAACAAUCACCAAUUGGCUCAAAUCAAAUAAAUUAAAAAACCGGAUAGUAACUUUUACUAAAACCAAAUAAAACGAACAAAACCGACCAAAUUAUUCCGAUUNAUCCGGAAAAUCCCCAAAAUAUUAUGUUUGGAAACUGAAAAGAAAUCAUUUCGAUGCUUUAAAGCUCACAAAAAUAGAAAAAAAAAAAAAGAAAUUUUGAAAGCGCUUUACAGCACAACUCCAAUUCGCUUUUUUUUUUUUUUUCUUUUUUUUGUGUGGAGAAACAGUGCAUCACUAAAGAUGAUGAAUAAAAUCUAGGUAAAAGUGUAUAAAACUUCUUUGAACUAUAGGCAAUUUUGAUUCCACUACCCAACUUUUCAAAAUUUUGAAUUGAGUAUACAAUCUUUUAAUUUGUUUAAUUUAAAUAAUUUCAUAGCUCCGUAAAUACAAAAUUUAAACUAAUUGCUUACUUUAAUAAAUUUAUAGUUACGUUAAUUACAUAAAAUAUACUAAUUAAAUAUAUAAAGAUAAACAAUCACUAAUUGGCUCAAAUCAAAUAAAUUAAAAAACCGGAUAGUAACUUUUACUAGAACCAAAUAAAACGAAAAAAAAAANAAUCACCAAUUGGCUCAAAUCAAAUAAAUUAAAAAACCGGAUAGUAACUUUUACUAAAACCAAAUAAAACGAACAAAACCGACCAAAUUAUUCCGAUUCGUGCUUCUAGUUCAGUUCUUUUUUUUGGGGAAAAAAAAAAAGAAGAAAAAGAUGAAUGAGAAAAAAAUGAAAUAAUUUUAGCUGAGAAAAGGAAAAUGGUUUCCCUCUAAAAGCAUAACACUUGGAGAUUAUAAUCCUUCUGAUGAAAACCAAUUAUCAGACACAUCAAUAGAACAGUUGGGAAAUCAACUUUUCACUCAGAUGAAUUAGAAAUCAAAUGAUGCAUUUAAUAUGAGAAAAAAAGACAGUCAAAAUUNGUUCAGUUCUUUUUUUGGGAAAAAAAAAAAAAGAAGAAAAAGAUGAAUAAGAAAAAAAAUGAAAUAAUUUUAGCUAAAAAAGGGAAAAUGAUUUCCCUCUAAAAGCAUAACACUUGGGAGAUUAUAAUCCUUCCGAUGAAAAUCAAGUAUCAGACAUAUCAAUAGCACAGUAGAGAAAUCAACUUUUCACUCAGAUGAAUUAGUAAUCAAAUGAUGUGUUUAAUAUGAUAAAAAAAGAGUGUCAAAAUUUAGAAACUGCGCCGACUUUACCUUUGCUUUUCUCUCCUUUUUCUCUCCUUUGGCUAGUAACUUUUUCUCAUUUUAUUUCUCGCAGAAAUUUUUACCAUUGCGAAGAAUGCAAUGUCCAUAUUUACCUGCAGGUUGUCCACGCUGAUGCUGUAAAAAAUACGAUAAUUAUUCGUGUAACAAAAAUGUAUCUCAUGUAUCGACACUAAUCAUACCGUCUAAUGUUGCUAAACAGAAGUUUCGGAAGGAAAAGAAAGGAAACGAAAGUAAGGAACUAAAGAUCUUUGCUAUUUUGCCCGAAAAAGAAAAAAAAAUUCGGCACUUAUUUUGAUUUUCCAAUCUCUUCAUGAUUUUCAUCUAUACGUCAUUCAACUAAAGCAUAUCAUAUUUGCGGACCUAAAUAUCCCGGUCUAAGAUAUCUAGUUCAUACAUUCAUCAUAACAAGGCCGAUGGCAUUCUAGGGUAUGAAAAGAGAUCUUGACACAAAGCAGCGACAAUAGAAAAGUUUGUUCAAAACUCGAAAGUGCAAAACGGAUUAAAAGACGGACUUUUUGGAGAAAACUCAAACACCAUUGAAUCAAAGAGCUCAAUUAAAAGCAUUUGUUCAGUUAUAUAACAAGUUAUAAUUACACAUAAUGAGAAAAGGAUUGUUACCUUGCAUUAUUGUAACCAAUGAGAGAAAAGAUCCAUAAAUAGGACCAAGGUUGCCGAGCCCCUAGCCUCGAGCAACGGGUGUGCAAUAAUCAAAUAACUUGAGAAUAAGCAUAAGCAUCAGAGACACCACAAGCUGCAAUUCGAAAGAACAAGGAAAAAUUUGGUUGUGGAGAAAAAUCGAAAUAGAAUGAAACUUUACAAAGAUAUAGAAGUCACAUCCUCUUUCAAAAACUAUAAAGAUGGAUGCAAUCUGUUAUCUCUUACCAUGUAGCAGUAGGGGAACAGAGGAGGAUCAAUUCCUCUGAAGAAGUUGCGAAACCAAGAACCAGGUAAUCAGCCUUACAAUCACUCUUUAAUAUCGGCCAUCAACCACCUUCCAGAAUGUUCAUGAUCAGCCUACAAAGCAAAAUUAUUUGGUUGAAAUGAUUAGGAUAUUUCACAGAAAGACAGAUAUUUAUCGGAGCUACAUCAUUCAAACUAAAUGGUUGAUUACUUUUUGAACAUUUGAACAGGCGGUAAUGCUAAUUAAAGCACUUCAAAAAGGAUAGCAAUACCCAGCUCUCAUAGUCAAAAAGGAACAAGAAGUCUAACUCCAUCUUACCUUGGAUUGCGAGUCUUCCCAGAACUUUUCAAGUUGUACUGUUCGACAAUCAUAGCUGCUGAGGAAUCCAAAUUUCAUGGCAUCCACUUUGUGCUACUCAUUACUUUCAGAGAAGAUAAACAGUUUAUCAUCAAGAUAUUUGGCUAAGAAUUCUUUGGCCCUUCACAAGCACGCUCUUUGCUAAACAUCACUGUAUCUAGGCUCCUGAAAUCGGAAAAUGUGUAAUAAAACUUGCCAUAAAAUAAUGGCAUAUCCCGGCUAACUUCGAGAACAAAUUGAUAUAUCCUGGCAAACUUCAAAUAACCAGUAUUUUCCCAUGAAACCUUAAAACCUUGCAAAUACAUCGUUUGAGUGGUCAAAGGUCCCCAAUUCUCCAUUUCUCAUCCAAAUGGCCAUUGAUGUCAAAUAAUGGCAACAGCUGCGUGAUUGGCAGUGGUAACAGCAGUGCAAUUCAGCAGCUGUAGGUGGUGGUGCAAUUUACUGUUGGCAGUGAUGGUGUAGUGAUUCAGACUCGCCAGGAGAGCGAGAGAGGGUAUAAUGGUCAUUUAGACUAGUUUCACCGUCUCAGUAACAUAUUUACAAGGUUUCAAGGUUUUGCAAGAAUUUGUGUGUUACUCAGAAAUUUGGACGGACGAGCAUGCAGUCACCAAAGUUUGCAGAGAUAACCAGUAUUAUCUCCAUAAGAUACAUUGCAAACUCAGAAAAAAAAAAAAAAAAAAAAAAAAAAAAAAAAAAAAAAAAAAAAAAAAAAAAAAUCAAAGAAACAUACUGCUGGUUACAGAAUGAUUGUGGCCGUUGAUUCUGCUUUUAGCUAUCAAAUGUAUUCAGUCAAACAACUAAUAUCACUGACUUGUCAAUCUAGAGCAGCAAAAAGAGAAAUUCCGAUGAUUCAAUUACAACUAAAUUGACAAAUUCAUACUCUAUAGCUACAGGGAUGUUAUAUAUAUUGUACGCCUGAAAGCCAGAGGUUGCAACCUACAUAUGUAUGUGAGAUAUAUGCACCCAACAUCAAGGUUGAAACUUAAAAGGCAAUGGGAGUUUUAUUAUCACAAUAUCAUGACUAAAGGAUUUAGGUGGUGAAACAGGAAAUUGAUAUAUUAACGGCGUUUAGAGGAUCUGCAACAUUUAAUGUUGCCUCAAAUGAGAUAAAUCCUUAAACAGAAUAACAAAUUGCAAUGAAAAAUAGCAUCAUAGUGCUUAUUUCACUGCAACUGUCUUAUGAGAAAUUACGGAAUUAAUGCACUAAAUGACAAUAAAAUCUACAUUAUCACUAAGAAAGACCAUUUUCACUUAACAAUAAAUGCAAAAUCAAUUGAGCCACUAGUUUUGUACUGCUUAUUUCACUGCUAAUAGGGAAAAGAGUUGUUAGGUAAUACCUGAAAUAAUGUCCAUGAGCUAGUAGAUGCCGAAUGUUUGAUUUAACCAGGGUCCUUUGUUAGUACCCAAGGCAAUAAACCACCUUUAACAAUCAAAGCUUGCAAUACAUAUAGCGAGCAGAAAUCAUUUUUCUUGUUUAAAGCAUUGCACAUCACAGCGGCUAACUUCUGAUCUGGACGUAUGCCAAAACAUAUCAUCAUCUUGAAUAACAUUUUUGCUUCAUCUAGAUAAUAUACUUUGCAUAGUCGGUUGAUUGCUGAGCUAAAAUCCUUAAUUGAGACCUUGAACCCAGCAUUUAUCAGUCUAUCAAAUAGCAGAAUAGCUUUAUAUGGCAUUCCCUUUGCACAUUGUGCUUUGAUUAUUGUCAUGUAGGCAAAUUUUCUCAAGUCAACACCUUUUUCAACAAGAGAAUUCAAAAGCAUUUCAGCAUGCUUAACUCUUCCUUUCAAGCAAAGGACAUUAAUAAGCAAAUUAUAAGUAACCGGGCUCGGCACCACGCCAUGUUGUAGCAUAUUGUCAUGAAUGCGAAACGCCAUUUCCGUGUUACUUACUUCACAGAACCCUUGUAUAAGUGUAUUGUAGGUUAUUUGAUCAGUAGUUACAUCUUUUAUAUGCAUAUCGUGGAGAACAUGAAUAGCCUUCUGAAACAUGCCGUGCUUACAAAGUCCCUUUAUAACCACGCUGUAGGUGAUUGCAUUUGGCACGAUCGAUUUACCAACCAUUUCAUCAAACAGCUUCAGCAUCGAAUCAAAGUUCCCAGCUUCACAGAAAGCAUCCAUAAGAAUGGUGUACGUCACUACAGUUGGAACCAACCUUUUCAACUCAAAAGUCUUAAAGAAGCUCUCCGCCAUUGUUAAAUUUCCAACUUUGCAAAAUGCAUAAAUGAGUGAGUUACAAGUGACAAUGGUCGGCUCCAACCCUAAUUUAAUAGCUUGCUCGUAAAGUCGAACAGCAUUAUUGACAUCACCAACUUUGGCAUAUCCAUCUAUCACUACGUUAUAUAAUGUAAUAUCGUUUACUUGACAUUUGUUAGCCAAGUUUUCUAAGUACCAUCUAGCUUCCACCAACAUUCCUUUCUUACAAAGGCCAGAAAGAAUUGACCGAUGAGUGAAUAGAUUUGGCAUUACUCUUUUCGAGCACAUAAUCUUGCAUACUUGAAGUGCCCUCUCUAUUUCUCCCAACUUGCAAUACCCACUAACAAGGGUGGAAUAUGCAACUAUGUCCAUAUCCAAACCAAUGGUUUCGAUCUCAUUAAGCAACUUCUCCACUUCAUGAACCAACCCCCUUUUGCAAAGAGCAUUUAAAAGCACGCUAUAUGUCACAAUAUUUAAUUCAAACCCUCGGGAAAGUAUCUCCAUCCUCAUCCUUAACCCUUCCUCAACAUUCCCCUUUUCACAAAGUCCAGUAAUUAGUAUAGUGUAUGUUACAAGGUCUGGUUGUAGCCCUUGUUGAAUCAUCAUUUGAAUUAAUUUCCAAACCUCGCUCAUCAGACCUAGUAAACGGUAUCCAUUGAUGAGACUGUUGAAUGUGAUCAUGUCGAGUUCCAUCCCACUCUUCUGCAUCUCCUCAGAGAGCUCCAAGGCUUCCUCCAUAGAACCAACUAUACAUAGCCCAUGUAUAAGCGUAGAGUAACUAUAUCUAUCAGGAAGCAACCCGUAUUUAAGCAUUAUUGGUAUGAACGAUUUUGCUACCUGUACAAAGCCGACAUUACACAAUGCAGACAUGAGGGCAUUAAAAGUCAUAAUGCACGGUCGGAACUCUUUCCUUUCUCUUGCCUGUUGGAAAAAGUCUAUGGCUUCCACCAAUUUGUGUUGCUUGCAAAGACCGUCAAUAACAAUGUUACAAGUGUAUUCACUAUGAACAAGACCAUGAGCUUUGGCUUCUUGGAAAAGCUCCCAGGCUAUGUCUGUACAUCUUACACUGUACAACAAGCUAUCAUAAGUGGAUAUUGAAGCUUGCAUGGUUAGGCUAUCCAUCUUGCUAAGGACAUAGAGAGCAUCAAGAAUCAUUUUGGAUGUGGCAUAAGCAUUUGCCAGCAUGUCCCAUACAAUAGUGUUAGAAUCCCACUCUCGGAAUUUAUACAACAACAUCUGACAAAUGAAUGGCGCAGAACCAGACCCUGAAGUGAACAAUGUGAAAUGAUUAAACUUUUUAUGACCUAGAUGUUAACUGAAUAGCAGAAAAUAAAGCGCCCAAAAGCAAUGCAAAAAAGCGCAGCUUAAAAAUCAAAGAACUACAACAGCCUGAGUUAUAGUUCUCAUCUUGUAAAUCUGGAAGCAACAAAUAAUGGCCCUUCAUUUGAGACAAUAAGUCUAACAAUGACAAGAUGAACUCAAAAUUAGUUUAAAUCAAAAUAUUAAUUGAAAGUUAAUUCCUUCUCUACUAGAGGAAAAUGUAACAAUCGCUGAAUCUACAACUCUUCAAAGAUUGCAUUACAUCAUAGAUAAAAAGAGAAGCAAGUCGGAGAACAUACAAGCAGAAAACACAUCACUACUGCUCAGUGUAUCUUCGUUAUAAUCCUAUAACUAUCUGAUUCCUUGAUGAUAGCAUUGACAAAGAAGAAUGCUAGUACCACCACAAUUUGUUACAGCAGAUUCGGUCCGCCAUAAUUAUGCAGAUCUGUUAUAGGAUCAAUUCCGAUUAGCUCUUGUUCACUUAGAAAAUGCGGUUAGAGGAACUAUAUGUGGAGCAAUCAGGCAUAAAUUGAUACUAACUCCCCAAAUUUGGUAGCUUCAACUCCAUUAACAACUACUCACGAAUCAUUUUUUGGCCUACACCCUUUAUUUCAAGUUUCCUGAUAAGACGCACUUAACCACCAAAUAUAAAAAUGCAGUACAAGUGCUAAGUGUGUGUUUGGCAUGAGAGAGCCUUUCUGUACAAGCAUUCCAUAUGGGAUAUGUACCUGACCGAUUGCACUAAGCCAUGUGACAUGGUGAAGGUCUUUUAAGUUGAAACGAUGUUAAGAAAAGAAAGGUAAAAACGUACAGAGAAACCCCUCAAUUAUAGGACACUCUGAAAUAGCCCUCCAAACUAUAUUUUUUUCCCAUAAAACCCCCCUCGACUUUUGAUUUUUGAAAUUGAGUGAUUCUAGCUAAAUAGCUGGGGACCUUUUAUUGCAUGGAUUGGGAAUUCAUCAAAUUUGGUAGUUUAUGCUACUUUGCAACGAAUCAAACUGAACUGAAUUAAUUGAUUGACGACUAAUAGCUAACUGAACCGUGAAAUUUAAUUAUUUUUUUAACUUAAUUAACAAUAAAAGCUCAAAUAAAACAAACUAGCAGUUUAAGAGGUGUAAAGUUGAACGAUCUAUUUCAGAAUGGUCCAUAAUUUACCAAAAAGAUAAUUUUAUUGUGCUUUUAUGCCAAAUGAAAAUAUUUGGUUUGAUGCCAUUAUUUCUUGCAACAGAGAAGGCCUUCUUGAUGGCACAAUCAGGCUUCUGCAAAAGUUUUUCUUUUUUUGAGUAAAGCAGCUGCAGAAGCUUCGAAUUGGAGACUCUACUUUGAGUAAGGUUUUUUUUUUUCUGGGGAUUGUAAAAAUAUAAUGUUGCGUAGAUUGCAAUUAAUUCGAUUGAGAUAUAAUUUUUGCAGUUCCAUUGGAAAACGGAGAAGCAUAUCUCUAUAUACUUUUUGCGUCAACACCAAAGUGUCACGGACGCUGACACAGGACACGAAACACGACACGACUCGAACACCGCGGCUCGGCAUCUUUCAAAAAAUUAGGACACGGACACGGUAUGAACAUCGCUAAUAAAAUAUAAUAUUAUUAAUAUAAUAAUAUAAUUUUAUUAUAUAUAAAAUAUUAUUUUUGGUAAAAUAUUAUUAUAUUUUUCAUACGAAUGAUAUUUAAUAAAACUUUCAUUGAUAGUUCAUAUAUUUUAAGAAAAGAACUUCUCCAUUAUACAUAAUUUAUUUAUAUUGUCAAAAAAAAUUAUAUACAUUCAUCAAAAAUCGAAAAUAUUUAUUAUCGUACAUUACAUAUGCAUAGAAAAAGUAAAAUAAAAAUAGGUAUAUGUAUGCGCUAUGAAUCGGCAUUAAACGGGUGUCUGAGAAGUGUCCACAUCGGACACGUGUCCAACACCAACAUGCUAGGCUUAUAGAAGUGUCCGUGAUACGUAGGUUAACACUUUUUCAAACAAUAUUAGAUAUGAUUCCGCACACAACAAAAGCUCCAGAUUUUUAUUUUAUUUAUUUUAUUUUUUUUUGCUUGCAACAUCACUAACUACUAAGAAAAAGAAAAAAGAAGAGCCUUAAAGAGAGAUCACCUUCCUCAUCAGUAAUUUGCCUCAAAAUCCUCCUCACCUCCUUCAACCUCCCCUCCCGCGCCAGCGCGUGACAAACCCCCAACCGCAAAACCCUAGGGUCCUCUUCGACAAGACCCCCAUGAUUCGGGGCGAAAUCGGUCGGAAAAGGCGGCUCAAACCCAAGUUUCGCUAGGGUUGGUGCUUCUCCCGAGUGAUCGGUGCCUCCCAAGAGAUCCUCCUCCUCCGCCGCCGCCGCCGCCGAAGAGGAAGAAGAAGAAGAGGAGAACGAGGGUUUCUGGGGAUGAAGAGGGAGGAGGAGGCGAGAGCGUCGUCGUCGUCGAAGGAGGAGGAGGAGGCGAUUUGGUGGGAAGGGCAUCGAGGAGCCGCAUCUAGGGUUUUUAUCGGUUCCAUGGCGGGAACGUAAAACCCUUUUAUGCGAGAGGGUUUCGUUUUUAAGCAAUCAAAACCGGUCCCCGAACCGGCUCAACCGGACACCGGUUUAUUUUGUUCCGGUUUCAAACCGGUUCGAACCGGCGUAUCACAUCACAAUGCUCUAAGCUACCGUUUGGUUUGGGAAUAAACAAAAAAUAAUUAUUUCAAAAAUAAAUAUAAAUUGAAGUAUAAGCGGGAUUAUAUCAAUUUUGUAUUUGGAUGAAAAUUGGAUUAUUUCUGGGAAUAAAAAAAUAACGUUUGAUUAGGCAAGAUGGAAUAAGAAUUAAAGUGGGCAAUUAUAAGUGAAAAAUAAUGAUAUUAUUCUUUCUUUUUAGAAUUUAAAUUUUUAUAUUUUAUAUUUAUAUUUUAGAAUUUAAAAUAUAAUCUUUUAAAUUUUAAAAUUUUAAAAUAUCAAAUUUACAAUUUAAAAAAAAUUAAAAUUUUAAAUUUUAAACUUUAAAUUUAAGAUGAAAUUUUUUAAUUUAAAAUUGCAAAAUAUCAAAUUCUAAAUAUAAAAAAAUUAAAAUAUCAAAUUUUAAAUUUUUAAAUUAAACAAUUUAAAAUUUAAAUUUUUAAUAUUUUAAUAAUUUGAUUUUAAAAAUAUAAAUUUUUAAUUUUUAAACUUANUAAGAAAUUUAAAUUUUAUAAUAAAUUAAAAAUUCUCUCUCUCUCUUUACGGGUGGAACAAGCUAGGUUAUCAUAGCUUGUUCCACCCCCGUUAAGGUGGGAAUUAGUGUUCCCACUAAUUUUUUUUUUUUGUGUUUGGAGGAUAAGAAUACAAUAAACCUUUUAUUCCGUCCUUAACCUCCAACCAAAUAUGGCCUUAAAAGUCGGGUCAAAGAGCAAUUAGAAAAUAUUACAGGAUUAAGAGUUACAGAUUUAACUAGGAAUAUAAAUGGGGCGGAUCCACGGAUCCGAGGGCAAGACGAAACUCUACCUCCCGCUCCAUAUUUUGUUUGGUCGGGGGCCGCAACGAAUUAAUAUUAAUUUUAUUUUUGGCGCCAGUUUACCGCUCCACUCAUGAUAAAUCAGAAUAAGAACGGAUUUUUUGGUGGAUUGAAAUGGAUCAAAGGAUCAAAAGGGAUAUCUCGCCUCCUGCUCCAUUUACUUGGCAGAUCGAGACGGAUUCGGGGCAGGUUAAUAUUAAUUCUAUUUUUGGCCCUCGUUUACCGCUCCAUUUGGGACAGAUCGGAAUCGGAGCGGAUUUUUGGUGGAUCGAGAUGGAUCAAAGGACAAAAAGGGAUCUCCCACCUCCUGCUCUAUUUACUUGGUAGAUUAGGAUGGAUAUGGGGUGGGUUAAUUUUAAUUCUAUUUUUUGGCCCCUGUUUUCCACUACAUUUUGGAUAGAUUGAAAUAUGAGUUGAUUUUUAGUGGAUCGGGACAGAAUAUUGGACAAAAAAGGGAUUCUCCCUGCUCUAUUUACUUGAUGGAUCUAGAGGGAUUUGUGAUAGGUUACAUUUUUCUAUAUUUUUUUGUUCCUACUUAUCGCACCAUUUGGGGGGAUCGGUGCUGGAGCUCUAUUCGGAUCCAUUUGCAUCUCUAGAUUUAACUAGUGGGCCAACUACUAGUUGCACCAGCGAUGUCACGUCACACAUAUUUAAUUAUUAUUUUUAAUUUAAUUGUAUAAAUAUAUAAAAUAUUAUUCUAGUAUCGUAUUUUAUUAUAAAAUACUGAUUUUUAGACUAAAUUAAGUAGAGAUAAGUUUUCAAAUUUCAACUUUUAAAAAACUAAUCUAUGCUGAUAGAAAAUAAAAUUAGCUAAAUUAAUUUUAAGCCAUUGGAUUUUAAUAUGACUUCAUAAAAAAAAUAAAAAAAAAAUUAGUUGACUUAGAUUAAAAUCGGACCGUUUUACCAGCUCGAUGGUUGAACUGCCAGUGCAAAUGGUUCAAAACAGUUUUUUAUUGAAUCGUUUUUUAACUUAUUCUGUUCAUAAAGUUAAACGAAACUGCUUUAUAAAUUGGGUUAUGGUCAAAUUGGUAGAACCAGCUGGAUCGAUCUGCUUUUUAAAUCAUUACCAAAAUAUGUGGGUUGGCCCAAAAUCCAAAUAGUAGAAAUUUUUAUGUCUAUGUGUGUAACAAGUUGAACACGAGCGAGCUAAUCCAAACUCUUAUUCGAUUCGUUAAGAUUUUGAACUGCACGAGUAACUCCAGCUUGUGUUUAGCUCAUUAAAAUUUCGAGCUUAAAAAUUCAAUUCAUAUUUAGCUCGUUCAGUAAACGAGCAAUCAAUCUCUAAUUUAUUUUGAGCCGAACACAAACCGACUCACAAACAAUAAGUUGAAUUGAGAGCCCUAAUUGUAUUUAGGUUUCAAAUAAAAGCUUUUUUAUUUUGACAUGUCGGAGUAACAUGUUUGGCUGCACCUCAUAAUGCCAUUCUCAGCAUUGUGUCAGCUUACACAUAUAAUCAUAUUAUAAUAUCUAAUUAUAUUUUAUGUUUAUAAUAUAUAUUAUAUAUAUUAUCCAAUAUUAUACUAUUAAUCUUCAAAAAAUUUAUUUUAAGAUGAUAAUAAUAUGAAUUUAGAUUUAGUAGCGAUGUGAGUCAUUAUUAUAUCGUUAUUCUUUCAGCAGACUUCAAUGCGACUGAAGCGUUAAUAAUAUUUCUGUGUAGUCUAUAGUAUCGACUAUGAUCACAAUAUUUUCAUAAUUUGCAAAAAAAAAUAAAAUAUAAAUUCAAUAAAAUAAUGAUAAAAUAAUUUUUUAAACAAGACAAUAGAGUUCAUUUUAGGUAGGUAGAAAAAAAUUUAAAAAGAAGAGGGAAUGUAUUCUACCCCUAUAUGAAGAGUCUAAACUAUUUAAAAAUUAUUUAUAUAUUUUAAAAUUUUACAAUCAAAAAUAAAAAAACUAGAUUGGGCUUAAAAAAAUAUAAAUCUUCUUCUCCAUAUAUGAAGAGAGAAAAAAAAAUUAAGAAAGAGGAAAAAAAAAAAAACUUCCCCUCUCCUCUCCUCCUGCUGGCCCCACCCGUACCGAGCCCACCCUACAUGCCCACGCCCACCCGCGCCCGCACCCGCUGCCACCCCCGUCUAUGUGUGUGUAACAAGUUGAACACAAGCAAGCUAAUCCAAACUCGUAUUCGAUUAAGAUCUCGAACUGCGACAGUGACUCCAACUUGUGUUUAGCUCGUUAAAAUUUCGAGCUUAAAAUUCAAUUCAUUAUUUAGCUCGUUCAAGUAAACGAGCAAUCAAUCUCUAAUUUAAUUUGAGCCAACACAAACCGAACUCACAAACAUAAGUUAGAAUUGUGAGCCCUAAUUGUAUUUAGGUUUCAAUAAAAGCUUUUUUAUUUGACAUGUCGGAGUAACAUGUUUGCUGCACCUCAUAAUGCAUUCUCAGCAUAUGUGUCAGCUACACAUAAUCAUAUUAUAAUAUUCAAUUAUAUUUUAUGUUAUAAUAUAUAUUAUAUAUAUAUCUAAUAUUAUACUAUUAAUCUCAAAAUUUAUUUUUAGAUGAUAAUAAUAUGAUGAAUUUAGAUUUAGUAGCGAUGUGAGUCAUUAUUAUAUCGUUUAUUGCUUUCAGCAACUUCAAUCGCGACUGAAGUGUUAAUAAUAUUUCUGUGUAGUCUGCAGUAUCGACUACGAUCACAAUAUUUUCAAAUUUUGCAAAAAAAAAAAAACAAAAUUCAAUAAAAUAAUAAAUAAUUUUUUAAACAAGAUAAUAGAGUUUAUUUUAGGUAGCGUAGAAAAAAAUUUAAAAAGAAGAGGGAAUGUAUUCUACCCCUAUAGAUAAUAUGAAGAGUCUAAACUAUUUAAAAUUAUUUAUAUAUUUUAAAAUUUUACAAUCAAAAUAAAAAACUAGAUUAGACUUAAAAAUAAAAAAUCUUCUUCUCCACAUAUGAAAGAGAAAAAAAAAUUAAGAAAGAGGAAAAAAAAAAAAAAAAAUUCCCCUCCCUAUCCUCCGGCUGGCCCACCGCACCGAGCCCACCCUAACUGCCCACACUUACCGCCGCCGACGCCCGCUGGCACCCCGUCACCGCCACUCUGCCCUUGCUGCCACGUGGAUUUGAGGAUUUAUAUAUUUAUAUAGAUAUAGAUAUAUUUUUAAAAUAUUUAUUUAAUUUUUCACUCUAUCUUGUCUUAUACUAAUAAAUAUGCCAAAAAAAUAGUAUUGGAAAUCAAAAAAAAAUUAUUUCUUAAAACUUAAAUGCUAAUUUUGAGAGAGAAUUAUUUUCAUGCCCAUGAAAUGAGGAUGGAAAGUAGUUUUAGGAUUAUCAUUUUUACAAGAAAAUAUCUAACAUUUACCCCAAAAGCUUAAUUGAAAUAAAUAAUAAUAAAUAACAUAAAUUAGAGACUUAAUUGCAAUAAUUAAAAAAUUAGAGACAAAAUGUGACUCUCAAUAGUCCCACAUCAGAUAAAUAUGACAUUAUGAAGGAUAAUGUAAGGGAUCAUGGGCUCUUAUUAUAAUAACCGGACUUAAAUAUUUUAGAUCGAUGAUUUAGAUCCAACAAAUUAUUAUUAUUAGCGGAUCGAAACGUUAUAUUUGGUAUCAAAAUCAAUCACCAUCCGGAAAUAUGAGAUGACUCGCUAUAUUUGGUAUCAAAAUCAAUCACCAUCCGGAAAUAUGAGAUAACUCUCAGCAAGUCGAGAUAUUCUGAAAGAUAUUCUGAAAGGGUAUGAAGGAUGCCUUACAUAGCUUAUGGCUGCCACCCUAAAAUAAAAUUAAAUAAAAAAAUUCUUAUAGUUUAUUUUCUGAGUCUUUCAAAUAGAAAGAAAAAUGAAAAUACAAUCUCUCUCAUAUCUUUUGAAAAAUAAAAACACAAUCUCUCUCAUAUCUUUAUUUUUUUAAAAUAAAGUUCCUUAAGAAAGCCUUUAUAAGGUCUUCUUAGGGAGAAUCUUUUCCAAGUUUUUGUUAUAAUCAAACAAAGAAAAAUAGAAGGUUACUACUGACUUAGGUAUCCUUUACAUUUGAUGUGUUUUAUAACUACAUAGAGUUGAAAAUUAAUCAAAAGUUCAUAAUAGUUUGGUUUCUUGUUAAAGUGGGUUAUUCACCAUGGAAUAUGUUAGUAGUAACAUGUGUUGACUGUUUCGCAUUCUUUAAUAUGGAAUCAGAGUAAAUGACUGAAUAUAAUUAUUAAAAUUAAACACUAUUUUCUACCAGUUUAAACUUUUGUAGAAUUUUGUUAAAAAAAUUAUUUGGCAACAUUCGCAUCAUAAUUUGUCUUAUUUAUUUGGCUCUUAAUUUCUAUCUAGCCUUCUUUGCUAAAUUUUUGUGAGAUCUCUUCUAUAUGCACUAAUCUUCAAGUUUUAGUUCAUUGAGGCCUCUUUAUUUAUAGGAAGUUUAGGCCAUCAAAGUGUAAUUAAAGAGAGAGUUAAUCUUAUAUCUAGUUGAGUAUAAAUAAAAUUUUGUUAUAGGCAUAUCAUGUCUUAUUAUAGGAUAUACUACAUAUUACUUGACAAAACAUUAUUGAAAAAAGUGGUAGUAAAUAAACUCUAUGUUAAUAUUUUUUUAUUGCAUUUGUCUUUGUAACGGUCCAAAAUCUCCGUAGUCCCACAAUUUGAAAGCACGGAAAUCUUAAUAUUUUCUUGCCGCAGCAGCUCCAAACUUUUUGGCUCUCGCGUAAUACUCAACUAGAAAAUUGUGGCUAAAAAAAUGUAAAACCGGUCCAAACAAGUACUAAAUCAUCACAAUUUGCCUAUAAAAGGCUCUUAAUUUAGAACUUUUUGUAUGUAGAUCUUGAUAUUUUUAUAAGGAUCAUUUGGAUUCGUAAGAGAGAAGGAAGGAUUGUUUUUUUUUUUUUUCAUUUAAGUAACUUCAUAAUGCCUGUCCUUUGCAAGCAAUUGAGGGGUAACAAAACUAUGACCAUAUAUAAGAAUUUUACAGGUGCUCCUGGAGAGUCCAUUUCUGAUUCUUUCUCUGAUUGAGAGUCGUUGGCUGCUUUCCCUUGCCAUCUGAUUCUGGACACUCUGGUUCAUCAUCACAAUCGGGCAAAGGAACGAAGCCGGCUUCAAUCUGACUAAUAUCCUCAGCCAUCUCGUCGUGAAAAGCCUUCACGUCCUCCGCAGUUUUUCCCGAUAUUUUUGCCGCAAUUCUCUCCCACUUGUCCACCUUGUCCUCUAUGAAUGCACUAAAGAAAGCCCUUUCUUGCUCCUGCUCCACAGCGAGGAGCUUCUCGCCUUAUCGUUGCUCAUUUCGUUUUACUAAGAAAUUUCAGAAUCUCUACAAACAUGGGAGGAAAACAUUUAAAAUUCAAACUAGCAGUGAACAUACUAAUUAAAGAUCAAGAAAUUCUUGUUAGAAGAAAUUCUGCACAAUAUAUUAGGCGAAUAAAUCAGGUGAAUAAAUCAAAAACUAAAAACAAUAAUUCAGAUUUCUUGUUCGCAUUGCGGAUCAAUUCGUCGAAAGAAAAAGAAACAAAAAUGAAAUAAGAACAAGAAUUAUUACAACAAAUCAACCUCUCUCACCUCCUCGAAAGAGCGCGAGAAUCAAAUAGAGCGAGAUGAAGAGCGAAGACAAAGAGGGGGAGCGAACGAGAAGAAGAGCGCAGAGCGAGAGGGAGAGGGAGAGGGAAAGGGUGGUGAGCUGCUUCAAGGGGUUUAGUGUUUACUAGUGAAGUUACCCGCGCAUUGCGGUGGAAUAAUACUAUAGAAGAUAAAAUAUAAACAAAAUAAAAACUUUAAAUUUUUUUAUUUGACAUGAGACUUCAAUAAACACAAAUAUGAAAUAUAAGAGAAAUGUUUCCAUACACCGGCCAAUUUAAAUCCGACCAUUCAAAUUUUUGAGGUUAAGAUUGACUUUCAUACAAUGGUAACCUGCUCAACAAAUUACCAAUCAAUCAUAAAGAUAAUAUUUGAAAAUAUGCAUUAGCUAAUUACCAAAUUUGAUAAUAUCCAACAAAUCUUCAUUUCCCAAUUUAAUUUUGUUACUUACCAAAUUAGAUAAUGGCUAAUUUCAUAAGUGAUAAAUCUUCAUAAAUUCGAAUUUAAAAUUUAACUUGAGUUUAAACUUUAUAUUUAUAAUUGUAUAAAUUAAAUUUAAAUUUUAGAAAGAAAAAUUUAUAUUUAAACGAGUAAACAUUUCAAUUCAAAUUGUCAAUUCAAUAUUAAACUAACAUGAAAGUUCAAAAAUGUUAAUAUCUUUAAAAUUGUAAUUUAAGUUAUAGUGUAUUUAUAAACUUUUAUUAUUUAUUUAAAUAAAAGAUUUCUACAUUUUAAAGUAAGUUGAAAUUGUUAAUUCACUAUUGAAAACAACAUUAAAUUUGAAAAAUAUUGAUCAAAUUUAAAUUAUAAAUUUAGAUUUAAUUUAUAUUAUACUUAAAAAAUAAAUUUUGUUAACUAUUUAAACAUAAAGUUUCAAUGUUUGAAAAUUAAUUUUAAAUUAUAAAUUACUAAAUUUGUAACUCAAUGCGAUCAUAAAUUAUUAUUAAAACCGGUCUUAAAAAUGAAUAAUUUAAUUAAAAAUUUAUUCUCUCCAUGAUUCAAGGGCAGUAUGCAAAACUUUCCAAUAUUAAUUAGUUAUUUAACCUUUUAAUAUUAGCUUUUUUUUCCAAAAAAAUAUCUAGAUUCACAUACCUGGUGACCGGUACUACUUGUGCAAUAGCAGGUCAUCUUUUUUAUGCAUAAAUCUUUACCCUUCGUUGAUUAAAAAUAAACGGCUAAGAUUAGAAUGAAUUAUUGAAGCAUUGCUCAAAAUAUAAAACAAAUAUAUGUAUAGAUAUAGCAAAAUUUAUAAUUUCAGUAAAUAAAUCAUACAUAACAAUAAUGAAAAAAACAAUAAAAAAAUUUCUACCCCACACACACCUUCAUCGCACUAUCGACAUCGGGGAGGUUAAUUCCGAUCUUUACAUCGCCUCCGCCGCUAAUGUCGAGCUCCUCCUUAGUCACGACUAUGCCAAUCCCAUAUAGAUUCUUCGACAUCCACUGCUUGUUCCCCCUCACUGAUUCCAAAUCCAUCACUGUUUCCUCCUGCCGCGCCCCGUCGCGAUCCUCGGAACCCUAAUUUCAAUCCACACACAAUUAAAAAAAAAUUUAAAAAAGUUACAAAACAUGAGCCCUUUUUGUGCGCCAAGAAAAAAAGGAAAAAGAAAAUAAUAUGAAGAAAAAAGUAUGAAGAAACUUUAUUUUACUUAUUUGUUUUUGUGGAAGCAAUUCAUUUAGAUGAUGGACCAUAUAAACACAUUAAUUGAGAGGUGGAAGUUAGGAAGAUAAAGUAUUGGAUGAAGAUGAAACCAUAUAAAUAAAUUAAUUGAGAGGUGUGGGUUAGAAAGAUGAAGCAUUGGGUGGAGAUGGGAUCAUGUAAACACAUUAAUUGAGAGGUGGGGUUAGAAAAAUGAAGUAUUAGAUGAAGAUGGAACUAUAUAAAUACAUUAAUUGAGAUGUGGAGUUAGAAAGAUGAAGCAUUGAGUGAAGAUGGGAGUGGGAAGAGGGAAGCCAACGGUGAAGGAGGAUUCGCCACAUGGCAAAAAUUUAGAAGAAAUAAUGUAUAGGUAUAGAAGGUAUAGAUAUAGAUAUAGAUAUGAUCUUCAUGAGUGUUAUUUUUAUAGAAAUAGAAGGAUAAAUAUCUCUCAACAUCCUAUAUCAUGUAUAAUAUAUGAUCUUCCUACUAGUGGUUUGUUGAACAACUUUUCCACAACACAUAAAGAUGAGAAAUUCUUGUUGUGUGUAAUUAUAUAAAUGAAUGUUACAAAAUUUUAGGUUAAUAUACUAUAUGACAUUAUCAAAGUUAGGACCUAUAGUGGUUAAGCACACAAACAAAUAGUAUACAAUCUCAUAGACCAUCCUCAUUCCACAUCUCAAAAACAAAUAGUAUACAAUCUCAUAGACCACCCAAAAUAGACUUUCUAUUAAUUUCUUGUCAUCAUUAAUCAACAUCCUCAUUGGCAGAUGCUAGAGUAAGCUAUGAGGUUUUCAUAUAAAAACUCUUGCUCUAACUUUUUAAUUCAUAGAAGCUUUUUUAGAUUCUCUUCUUAAAGUUAAAUCUUAUUCUCUCUAAAGGAGCCCUUUUUUUAUAUGCUUCAUUUGGGAAUAAGGGAAGCAUAGGUUACGUGCAGAAGGAUGGUGUGAUAGAAACGUAUGUAGUCUUUUUAUGUAAGAAAUAAGAUAAAACUUUAAUAAUUUUACAUCUGAUGGGAAUAAGAUUGUAUUUGGAAUAUAAGAGAUAAUAAAUUUUAGUAAUAAUAACUGGGUAUAAGCAAUUUGGGCUACUAGUUUGGAUCCAAUGAGUUAUUAUUGCUAGUGAGUCAAGUUAUUACAUUUGGUAUUAAAACUAAUUCACCAGCCAAAAGUAGGAGAUGGAUCUCAUAUCACCUGAUGAUUUUGGGAUAUGCAAAGUGUGAGGCAGAUCUCACAUCGCUUGGUGAUCUUGAGAUAUAUGUGUGAUUGGACUGAUGAGAAUGUUAGGAUCUGAACUGACGAGAAAACCUAGUGAUCAUGGGAUAUAUAUAUGAUUGGACCAACGAAGACGUCAGAGCCUAAUCAAGGGAGUCUGUGACACUUCUAAACCUUAUGGUCUACCAAGUGAUCUUGGGAUAUACAUAUGAUUGGACUGACGAGAACGUCAUAAUUUAAAUCUGGGAGGCCUGUGACACUGCAAAUAAUCCUACAUCUGACGUCUAAAUUGGAGGAGUUUGUGACACACUAAUAGUCACACAUCAGAUGGGAAGAAUGAGUAAAUUAACACUAAUAAUCCCCACGUUAGAUGAGAACGAGAUUGUGUUUGAAAGUAUAAGAGACAAUAGACUAAAUAUUUUAGGCUAAAAAGCAAAUAGCUUUGCGCAGCAUUCAAUAUCACAUAAAUAGUCCUUUAUACAUGGUUACACUUUUAAUAUUUUGUCUUUUUUUAGGGUGUGCUUUAAAUGUGAUAGCUCCAUGCUUACAUCUUCCGCAAAAGACAAAUCAUCCUCUACAAAUGACUCAAUGAGAACUACUCCAUAACAUGCAACAUUUGAUUAACAAUUCUUAUACCUAAUCCUUUGAUAUUGAGGUAUACCUAAGUUCAGCAAAUAUACAAACACAUUAUUUCAAUAAAAAAAAUGUAGGGAUACCUUUUCACUAAUUGGCCAUUUUGAAAUGCCGAGUUGAACUGUAAUGCUAUCGGUAGCAAACGGACUCCGUUGCUAUUCAUUUAUUUUCGAUGAUGAAGCCUCCAAAUCAACGAUCGGUACCAUUAAACAUGAUCUAUACUACUUGAAAUAUCUAGAAAUUAAAUUUCAUACUAUUUCGACAUUGUUCUCUUGUCUAUCAAGUGGACACAAAAAUAAACGGCUGAAAAUAAAUAUUUUCUAAAAAGUGAUGAUAGAAGUCUUGUAAUAAAGAUCGAGAGUAUAGAUUUUGUUCUAAAUAGUUUAAAAAAAUUUCGAAUGAAAAUUCAAUUGAUUUAGAUAUCUUUAUACCAUUAAACUAGAAAACACCUCAUAUCAACCAUUAAAAUUAUAAAUUUUGAAACCCUUUGAUUAUUAUUUCAAUGAUGUUGAAAAGAUUUAAAAUUUGACUUCUAGAUACUUGAAAUGGUAUAUAUUAUAUUUAACAGUACCGAUCGUCGAUUUGGAUGCUCUACCAUAAAAAAAUAAAUGGGUGGCAAUGAAGUCCGUUUGCUACUGAUAAAUGCCUUCAUCAACUUAUAACCUCUGUGAUAUCUCCUUAAUCUUUGAUUUUUUAGAAUUUAGUAAGAUUAGUCAAAAAAAUAAAAAAAUUUAUCAAAUUUAUUAAUAAUCUUAUCAAACUUAAUAACUUCAAUUAUUUUUUAGUAAAUAAAAUUAUUUUUGUUUGUUAAACAAUUAGAGGUUAAGUAAGUGUCAAUAACAAAAAAAUUGGGAUACUUUCAUGAAAUCGUCAUUUCAUUAACAUAACUAGUGUUUUAUAAUCUUUUGAUCUAGGUAUGAAGUUUAUAAAAGUCGAUAGUAGGGACAUUUGUGAUAAAUUCAUAUUAUCUAAAAGGCAUUUAUGUGAUAUUUUAGAAUUUGAAUGAUUAUCUGUGAAAUUUUAAAACUUUAGAGCGAUAUGUUUAAAAUUACCUCUAAAAUGUAAAGUUAAAGGACCAAACGAAACAGGCCAAUUAGUUGAGGGGUUUACAUACAUUUUUUUCAUUAAUUUAUCUAUCCAAAAGAUGUGUGAUCUACCUACUCUCAACUAGUACACAUGAAUUAUUGAAUAACCACUAACUUAUAUAUAAAAUAUAAUAUUAGUAAAUUUAUAGAACUAAUUUGGAGUAAAAGUUAUUUAUUAUGACACUUAUUUUCUCACCCUCCUUUUUGAGUUUUUAAGUUUAUACCGAAUAAUUUGUUACUAUUCUUCUGUCCCCCAAAUAGGACCGGCAAUUCAGUUUGUUAUUCACGAGUAAGCUCGUGUUCAGUUUGAAAUGAGCUCGAGACCGGUCGAUUGUUUAAUAAAUGAGCCGAAGAUGAGCCGAAUCUCUCUUGUGUUUUGCUCGCUAUAGUUUGAAUAUAUAUUAUAAAUUUCUACUAUGAAUUUUAGGCUAAGCCAAAGGUAAAGAAAUUCAUAUUUUAUAAAUUUUAAUAAUUAGAUUAAAAUUUGAGUUUUCUUUCAAUUUUUUUAUGUAAUAGUUUGGCUGACAAUUUAACUUGCUUGUUGUCCGCGAGCCAGCUCGUAUUAGGCCCGUUAAUAAACAAGUUAAACACGAGUUGAAUUUUUCAACUCGAUAUUUUAACAAGUUAGCUCGUGUUCGACUCGUUUAAUAAACGCGCGAGCGCAUGCCGGCUCCAGCUCGUUUUUGUUGGACUCGGUGAUAACCCUAAUCCGGACUGGGCACCGGAUGUCGGAUAUUUCGGACAUCUCUACUUACUGCAAAUGCCUGUGCGAUAAGUGCUGCGUUUUGAUUGGUGCGGUUCAGGGCUUACGUGGUGGACCUUGUCCAUCCUAUAAAAAUCACAAGACCUUCACCUCAAAGGAAAUAGAGUGUGCCAUUUUUAACGUGACCCUCCCCAAAUUCCUGCAAAGAAAAAGCCCAAGCACCUCAUUCUUUUCUCAUGAUUCACUAAACCCUCCCUAAAUUAUGGGAGACAAAUUAUUGCCCGCACCCGGUCUAUCGCUCCAUCUCAUACACCGUACUCAAUAUUUCAUGAUUAAUAUCUUAAAAUUAAAAUUAAUCCCACAUAUAUAAAGGAUAAUAUCUAAUAUAUCCCUCAAAACUUUUAAAAUAUCUGAUAUACCCUUACUUUUUUUUUGUUUCAAAUAUACCCCGGCAUAUUCAUCCAUUAUUCAAAAAUAACCCGCUGUUUUUACCAGUUAAGUUAUCUUGGGUUAAAGCUAGGUUAAAUUUCUGCCUGAGUUAAAAAGGAGUCAAAAUAUCUCUUUUGCCCCUAACUCAAAAGCAAAUAAAAAAAUUGGUGACUGUAAAAGAAUAUAUUUGGAAAAGGUAAAAAGUCAAAAUACGUUUUUACCCUUAACUCAGGGUAAAUAAAAAAAUUUGAUGAUGAUAGAAGGGUAUAUUUGAAAGGGUAAAAUAGUAAUUUUACAGAGAUAAUAGUUGUUCUUAACACUUCAGUAACAGAAUUUAACGUUAGGGGUAUAUUUAAAAUAGCUUGGAACCUUAAAAAGAGUAUUUUUAAUAUCAGCUUUCUAAGAGGGGUUAAUCAGAAAAUCGAAAACUUUACAAGAGUACAUAAGCAAUU